AUAAUACAGUGGUACCUCGGGUUAAGUACUUAAUUCAUUCCGGAGGUCCGUACUUAACCUGAAACUGUUCUUAACCUGAAGCACCACUUUAGCUAAUGGGGCCUCCUGCUGCUGCUGCUGCGCCGCCGGAGCCUGAUUUCUGUUCUCAUCCUGAAGCAAAGUUCUUAACCUGAAGCACUAUUUCUGGGUUAGCAGAGUCUGUAACCUGAAGCGUAUGUAAACUGAAGAGUAUGUAACCUGAGGUACCACUGUAAAAUAAUGAAGCCUUAAACGGUUCAGGACCGCAAUACCUCAAGAACCGCCUCUUUCCAUAGGAACCUACCCGGACCCUGAGAUCACCUUCUGAGGCCCUUCUACGUGUGCUUCCUCCAUGAGAGGUCCAGAGGGUGGCAGCACGAGAACGGGGCCUUCUCUGCAGUGGCUCCCUGUCUGUGGAAUGCUCUCCCCAGGGAAGUUUGCCAGGCACCUUCAUUAUACACCUUUAGGCUCCAAGCAAAAACGUUCCUCUUCAGCCAAGCCUUUGGCUGAUUGACAUCCGAUGCCCUUUAAAAUGGGGAAGGGGCGUUAUCGGGUAGUUUUUGUUUUUAUUAUAUAUUUUGGGUUUUUAUGUUGUGAUUUUAUGUUGCAACUGCCCUGAGACCUGCAAGUACAGUGGUACCUUGGGUUAAGAACUUAAUUCGUUCCAGAGGUCUGUUCUUAACCUGAAACUGUUCUUAACCUGAAGCACCACUUUAGCUAAUGGGGCCUCCCGCUGCCACUGCGCUGCUGGCACACAAUUUCUGUUCUCAUCCUGAAGCAAAGUUCUUAACCCAAGGUAAUAUUUCUGGGUUAGCGGAGUCUGUAACCUGAAGUGUCUGUAACCUGAAGCAUAUGUAACCCGAGGUACCACUGAAUAGGGUGGUAUACAAAUUUAAUAAAUCAUAAAAUAAUAAGAAGAAAAACUUUGCUGGAUCAGACCAAAAGGUCAUCUAGUGUAUCUUCCUGUUUUUCAGGGGAGUGUGAACUCUGAAGGCUAGCUGUGCCUCAGUUUGUCUAUCAUUUUGGAAAGACCAAAUUCGGUAGGUUCACAUGUGAACUGAAUCGAAUUUCUGCCCCAUGCCUGCCCUCAGGAUCUGCCUCCUGAGGUGGUUGACGCACUCUGCCUAAUGACAGGACUGGCCUUGGUGUAAAAAAUUAUAUGCCUCAAUUUUAUUUGAAGGUCUGAAACGGCAUUGGUAAAUAAGGUGAAAGGGAAAAUAAAUGCCAUGGACAAGCCUACAUAUCAAGUAUGCACAGGGCUUAAACAAUCCUGAAUCCAGGGGGCAAUUUUUCCGUUUUUCUACUGCUGUUUUGAAAGCCUUACAUUUGUAAUUGUUUCAUAGUUUACAAUUUCCGCCACAAAAAACCCAUCCUUCUAAACACCACAAAGAUGAUACAUUUCCUUUCAAAAUAUGCACUCCGGACCAAAAAUUAUAUUCCCGGAGACUCGAAAUCAUUAAGGUGACAUUAAAAUAACCUUUUGGAAAAUUGUUCCGUAGAGACAGGCCUAACCUUUCUGCUUCCACUAUAUGAAACAAAACUCUACAUGAGGCCACAUUAGCGUUGACAUUUUUGAUCAAUUGAAGAACUGUACAGCAGGGCUCAAGGUACCUGGACACAAGGACGCUUCACUUACCACAGGAGCUCAGAUUAGAAAUUCGUUAGCAAAGUGCUCUGCCUUUCAAAGAGCAAAGGUUUUCUCCAUUGACUAAGCAGUCGCAGAAGAUUGAGGAGAGGCUCAGAGAUGUAUUGAACUAGCCAUGGGGGAUUAGGGUAAGCAACCAAUCAGGUGGACUGUGGUUACCCAGUAAACCAUCCACUUCAGGGAUGUUUGAAGAAACGGCUCUCUUCUCUAGGAAGCUAUUUCUGCCUAAAUAACUAGCAAUGCAUUCUCAGGCCAUGCAGAAGUGGCUGUGCAGCUAAUCCAAGGCAGGGGAUGGAUUCUGCAUUUUUCACCACAAUUGACUCAUAUGCAAAGUAUGUUCCCCAUUUAAAGGUCAGGUAGUACAAUCCAAAAGGACCAAAUUGCACAUUGGCUUGUGUGUCCCCUUGUUACUCCCACCCCACACACACCCCACACACUGAUCUGAUAUGCUAAGGCUGCUACAGUUAUCAACAACAAUAAAAAGCGAGUUUUCCAUUAAAAAGUAAAAAACCAUGGAUAUCUGCAGCAGCACCCAUUGAAGUCAAACAAAGUCUUAGCAUUUCCACAUUGCUGGAAACAAAAUUAAAACAAAUUCUUCCUAAAAUAUGUAGGUUUUUAAAAAUGUAAAUUUUCUCCCCGAAUAUCUAUCUAGUACCUCUCUCUCUCUCUCAGAUAUUGUAUGUGUGUGUGUACACACAGAAAUAUACAUACAUAUUUUGAUAGAUUUCAGAUAUCACAGACCCUCCAAUUUCCCUAUUUUCCAGGGACGUCCCUGAUUUAGAGAAGCCGUCCCAGUUUCUGAUUUGAUCCCAGAAUGUCCUAUUUUUCCUUAGGAUGUUCCUAUUUUCACAGGAGAAAUGUUGGAGGGUAUGGAAUUAUCCGAUCCCUGAGCUGUCUGAAGGGAAUCUUGUAUAGGGAAGGGUUUUUUUUAAUGCUACACGUUUUAUUAUGUUUUUAUGUAUGUUGGAAGCUGCCCAGAGUGGCUGGGGCAACCCAGCAAGAUGUGUGGGGUAUAAAUAGUAAAAUUAUCAUUAUGGAAUGGGAUGUCCCUAUUUUCAUCGGAGAAAUGUUGGAGAGUAUGAUAUCAAGAACUACAUUACAACAUUCAGAGAAGUGCUGAACCAAUGGAUAGAUAAGUUUUGAUCAGCACAUUAAUCAGAGAUGUGUCGCGAUCAGGUCAUUUCAUACAGGAAUCUGCAAAGAUUAAAUUCAUUUUUUGGUGGUCAUUUGAUAGAAAAUCAUGUAUUGCUUUUCUGAAGAUGCCAACGGUCCGUGGAGAAUUUCUAGGGGAAAUAACAACAACAAGCCACCUAAUAAAGAAAUCUAUGGUGGGGAACGCAAUGUAAUAAAAAAAGAACACGAGUAGAAGAACUCUUUCAACAACUCUCUUUCCAUAUCUGGUGACAUUUACUGUUCAUCAAAAAUUGAUACGACUGAUUUUAAAGCACACUGAGAGAAGAAUUCCCAGUGACACUGUCAUACAAUAUGCAAAAAGAAAAGGAACAGGGUGAUGGGCUAUUUGCAAGGUGCUGCUAUUAAGAAGAACUGGGCACCAAUUAAGAAAAUUGUAAUGAAACAGUUAAGAAAAAAAUGAAUGUCGUGCAUAUUCUUAAAUAACUUCUUUAUAUAUGGGGAAGAAAAAUAGUUCCAAGGUAACCAUCUCUUUGUAACAUUUUUGCGUGACACAAAAAACUGGGUGUUGUAGCUUAGGCCAACCACCAACAGUCAACAGCGUUGUUGUGAAGAUAAAACAACUCUUUGAGCACCUAGAAGGAAAGCUGCAAUAAAAUAAAUAUAUGAAUAGGUGUGUGGCCUCAUUUCCCAGUGAUUUUAUAGGAGAAAGUACUUAGGCAUUAAUUUGGGACAGAUUUGCAAUAGGGAGGCCUGACCUCCAGGUCUUGGGAUCACCAGGCGCAAACCUGGCCCUACCAGUGGUUUUUUCAAACUUGGGUCCCUGGCUGUUAUUGGACUACAACUCCCUGUGGGAAAUUGUUGGCAUGGCAAAUGAAAAAAAGACAAAAACUCAACACCGUCGCGAAUUUGGAAGUGGAAGGAAAGAUUAUACAGAACCCAGUGGAAAUUAGAAAGUGCUUCCAGAGGUACUUUAAACAACUAUAUACACAGGAGAAACAGAAAGAAACGGACAUUGAUAAAUUUUUGAAAAAGAAUGGAUUACAACAAAUUUCCCAAGAAAAUAAGCUAAUGUUGAAUUAUAAAAUAACGGAACAGGAAGUAGAAGGGGCUAUCCAGAAUAUGCAAUUGGGUAAAUCCCCAGGGCCGGAUGGACUGACUUCAAGAUAUUAUAGAUCUUUGAAAGAAUGGUUAAUACAACCUUUAAAGGAAGUCUGCAAAGAAAUAUUGGAAGGGAAACGGGCACCAGAGUUGUGGAAGGAAGCUUACAUCACACUUAUACCGAAAACAGAGACUGAAAAGACACAGCUUAAGAACUACCGCCCCAUAUCAUUGCUCAAUGUGGAUUAUAAAAUUUUUGCAGAUAUUUUGGCUAAAAGAUUAAAAAAGGUGUUAGUAGAAGAAAUUCAUAAAGACCAAGCGGGCUUCCUCCCGGGCAGACACUUGUCUGAUAACACGAGGAAUAUAAUUAAUAUUUUAGAAAAAUUACAAGUGAAGAUUAAUACUAAAGCAGUUUUGAUAUUUGUGGACACGGAGAAAGCCUUUGACAACAUUUCUUGGAGUUUUAUGAAGAAAAAUUUAUUGGGGAUGGGGGUCGGUCAAGGCUUUGGAAACGGUAUAGGUGCAAUUUAUUCAGAACAGAAGGCUAAAUUAAUUGUAAAUAAUGUGGUGACAGAAGAAUUUAAGAUUGAGAAAGGAACAUGACAAGGUUGCCCAAUCUCUCCUAUCUGUCCUAGAGGUUUUGUUAAAUAUGAUUAGAAGGGACCAACUGGUAAAAGGUAUACAAGUGGGAGCUAAACAGUACAAAUUGAAAGCAUUUGCAGAUGACCUGGUAUUGACUUUACAGGAGCCAGAAUCUAGUACCAAAAGAGUAUUAGAACUGAUUCAAGAAUUUGGUCAGGUUGCAGGUUUUAAGUUGAAUAAGACGAAAACUAAGGUUUUAGAGAAGAAUCUAACUGAGAUUGAGAGAGAUAAGUUUCAGAAGGAGACAGGAUUGACACUUGUCAAGAAAGUGAAAUACUGUAUUUAGGGGUUAACAUGACUGCUAAGAAUGUGAAUUUAUUUAAGGAUAACUAUGAAAAAUGUUGGACUGAAGUGAAAAAGGAUUUAGAAACAUGGUCAAGUUUGAAGUUAUCGUUGCUAGGCCGAAUCGCUGUGAUUAAAAUGAAUGUAUUGCCAAGAAUGCUGUUUUUGUUUCAAACAUUGCAAAUCUUGGACAAAAUGGAUUGUUUCAAGAAGUGGCAGAGAGAUAUCUCUAGAUUUGUCUGGCAGGCCAAGAAGCCUCGUAUAAAAUUUAAGAUAUUAACUGAUGCCAAAGAAAGAGGUGGAUUUGCCCUGCCGGACCUUAAACUUUAUUAUGAAUCAGCUGCCUUUUGUUGCCUAAGAGAAUGGAUGCUUCUUGAAAAUACCGACAUGCUGGAUUUGGAAGGUUUUAAUAAUGUAUUUGGCUGGCAUGCGUAUCUGUGGUAUGACAAGGUUAAAGCACAUAAAGCGUUUAAAAACCAUAUUGUCAGGAAAGCACUGUUUAAUGUCUGGAUAAGAUACAAAGAUCUGUUAGAAAAUAAAACCCCGAGAUGGCUGUCACCAAUGGAAGCAAAGGCUCAGAAAAAACUCAAUAUGGAGGCCAAAUGGCCGAAGUAUUGGGAAAUUCUGGAGCAAGAGGGAGAUAGACUAAAACUGCAGAGUUUUGAAAAAUUAAAAAAUAGAGUGCGAGAUUGGCUUCAUUAUUAUCAAAUAAUGGAGGCAUACAAUAUGGACAAAAAACUAGGCUUCCAGGUAGAAAAAUCAAAAUUGGAAACAGAAUUGUUAGAUCCUAAAGUUAAGAAUUUGUCAAGAAUGUAUAACUUGCUGUUGAAAUGGAAUACUCAAGAUGAAACGGUGAAAUCUGCUAUGAUUAAAUGGGCACAAGAUGUUGGACAUAAUAUUAUGAUGGCUGACUGGGAACAGUUAUGGACCACUGGUAUGAGGUUUACGGCAUGUAAUGCCUUAAAAGAGAAUUUAAUGCAAAAAUCUAUCAUUUACCUGAUAACAAAUGUUGGAAAUGUGGGGAGACUGAAGGCACAUUCUUUCACCUUUGGUGGACAUACCCAAAGAUUAAGGCAUUCUGGGAGAUGAUUUAUAAUGAAAUGAAAAAGGUAUUUAAAUAUACCUUUCUGAAGAAACCAGAGGCCUUUCUCCUGGGCAUGGUCGGCCAAUUGGUGCCAAAGAAGGAUAGAACUUUUUUCAUGUAUGCCACAACAGCAGCAAGAAUACUCAUCGCAAAGCACUGGAAGACACAAGAUCCACCCACUAGGGAAGAAUGGCAGAUGAAGCUGAUGGACUACAUGGAACUGGCGGAAAUGACUGGCAGAAUUCGAGACCAGGGAGAAGAGUUGGUGGAAGAAGAUUGGAAAAAAAUUAAAGUAUAUCUACAAAAAUAUAGUAAAAUUAAUGAAUGUUAGAAGGAUGUUGGAAUGAAGUUACAUGGUUUUAGCAGAAAUGUUAUUAAGAACUAAGUAAAAAUAGGCUGUUAAUAGGUCAAAGGAUAAAAUUUAAGGUCAGAUCGGGUUAAGGUAAUUUAUAGAACAAAAAUUGAGAAAGAUGGAAAGGAUUUGUUGAAACAGCUAAAUUGAAUUAGAAUACAAAAAAGGGAGGUGUGAGGAGGUCGAUGAAACAAGUAAAUGAAAGAUAAGGAUAUGGAAAUACUGGAUGUGUUUUUUAAAUGUUUUUGUUUUUAAAUGUUUUUGUUUUUGUUUUUUUCCCCUUAUUGUUGUGCUGUAUUUUUUUUGUUUUUUUUUGUUUUUUGAUGUAUUGUAUUGUAACUUUUUAAUCUCUCUUUUUUUCUUUUUUUCUGUAAUUGUUAAACUUUUAAUAAAUAUCAUUUUAAAAAAAAGUUAUUGGACUACAACUCUCAUUACCACUGGUCCUGCGAGCUAGGGAGGAUGGGAGUUGUAGUCCAACAACAGCGGGGGACCCAAGUAUGAGAAACACUGCACCUACCCUCUCUUUGUCCCUGAGAGUAGGUUAUAAAGGUAAAGGGACCCCAGACCAUUAGGUCCAGUCGUGACCGACUCUGGGGUUGCGGCGCUCAUCUCGCUUUAUUGGCCGAGGGAGCCGGCGUACAGCUUCCGGGUCAUGUGGCCAGCAUGACUAAGCCGCUUCUGGCGAACCAGAGCAGCGCACGGAAACGCCGUUUACCUUCCCACCGGAGCGGUACCUAUUUAUCUACUUGCACUUUGACGUGCUUUCGAACUGCUAAGUUGGCAGGAGCAGGGACUGAGCAACGGGAGCUCAACCCGUCGCGGGGAUUCAAACCGCCAACCUUCUGAUCAGCAAGUCCUAGGCUCUGUGGUUUAACCCACAGCACCACCCUUAUCCCUGAGAGUAGGUUAUACUUCUCUUCAAAUGCUUUAAUUCGCUCCUGUGGGCACAGUGUCAGUGUAAAGCAUUGCCGAGCUGGGGGUUAUAUCGUUGUACUGAGUGGAGAGGCAGGGAAUGAUGGAGGGCUGUGUCAAGGUGCCGUAUAGCUUGCAAGUCUCGAGCAAGCUAAGUGCGUUUGAGUGCUGCAAGCACACUUCAAGAAGGAGUACCUGAAGUGGUUAUCAAUCAACCAGACAUUCUGAAGUCGUCGUGAUGUCCUCUUCCACUUUGGCCAAUUCACCAGUGGAGCUCUCCUUCUCCUGGAAACAAGGGACUUUUCAACCAUCACACCUACUCGGUAACUUCUGGUUGAGAUUGAGUAAUGCACUCUACAUGGGGCUGCUUUGAAAAAAACAGCUUUUAUUAAGGAUAUUUGCUGUUACAAAACACAUAGACAGGGAAAGGUACAUCUGUCAUCUCCACUUCUUUCAAUUCAUAGAGUCUUCUUCACAGUUCAUUUACAUUUAGUGAGAGACACUUUUGUCAUAGACAUCUUGCAACUGGGGGGAAAGAGAAGGGGAGAGAGAGAUGGGAAGUGUGGUUCUCUCGUUUGGUUGCCAAGUGUUAGUGUAGAGGGUUGUGGCAGCAUCACAUGCAGGCAUAGGCAAACUCGGCCCUUCAGAUGUUUUGGGACUACAACUCCCACAAUCCCUAGUUAGCAGGACCAGUGGUCAGGGAUGAUGGGAAUUGUAGUCCCAAAACAUCUGGAGGGCCGAGUUUGCCUGUGCCUCAUCACAUGAGUAUGUCCUUUGUUUGUUCCACUGUUAGAAACUGAGAUAUGAAAGCCAGGAGCGAAAUGGCUCCUUAAACCUAGGUUAUUGGGUGGGGGGAGAACGAAUUCCUGUGCCCCACAAAUAAGAACAAAAGAAUAUUAGGUUUGAUUGAUGGAUAUAUGGGGGGAUGGGGAGAUGUGGUGAUGGCUUUGGUUUAUUUAUAUUGUGAUGUAAUAUGGAAAAAACCAAUAAAAUAUUGUAUUAAAUGCCCCCCCAAAAAGAAAUUCAAAAUCUAAAUACUGUAUGCAAUGAAUGAAACUUCAUUCAUACAUAAAAUCCCCCAAAGAUUACCAGUUGUAAAAAUAUUGCAACCAUCAGGUAAUCUCUUAAGAAGUUUCUUCUUCUUUUUUUCAACCUCCAAGACGGCAUCAAAAUUAUUUGAUCUUCUAAAUGUAGCUACAGCAGUUCCAGGCAAUGACGUCUCGGUUCAGUCCUUUGCUUGAAACCCUUAUUUUUAAAAUGAAUUUUAAUCCCCGUCUGCCGAAGGUGCUUCAAGAUCAACAGGCUCCGUGUAAUUUUCCAUUGCAAGUACUUAUUCUCGCCUUCCCUUAUUGAAAGCUUAAAAGGAAAAGGCUUGUGUGGAAGGAAGGAAAUCACAUUAUUAUUAUUAUUAUUAUUAUUAUUAUUAGAAUUUUAUUAGUAUUUUCCACACAACAACAACAACACGAAAGAUAUCAAAAAAAAACAAUACAUAACACACAGAAAUCAACAUUCGAAAACUAAAAAAAACAUAAACAAAACAAACAAACAAAUCCAUAUCUUACAAGUUAAUAUUAUAAACACUAAAACAACAACAAGACAAUGCCUUCCACCAAUCCCACAGCACCUCCUUUAUCUCUCAUUGUGUCUUCCUGUUUUCCUGUUUUCUUUAUCCUCUCUAGCCUAACAUCUAGAUAUAAAUCAUCCUUUCAUAUCCUUUCACUUCACAAGGUUAUUCCAGACUCAGCCAGAUUUCUGCCCUCAAACCUUGACUUUUGAGGAAAUCACUUUUCACACGACUGCGGAAGGGCUCCCAGAAACUGAUGGGCACAGGCCCCAACAAGCUCCUAACAUGCCUAGGUUUCAAGGUGGGGGAGAAAGGAACUAGGGGAAGUAUCUCUGUGGAAUAAAUGGUAAGCAUUUGCUACUGAAUUGUAAAAGGUUUUAAGAUUCGAUAUUUAGCAACAUACAAAAUGCACAGCAAACACAGGGGUUUAUUUUAUUAUUUUAUUUGAAACAUUUGUAUCCUGCUUGCCCUGUUCUACAUGGAGUUGCUCAAAGUGGCUUAGAAAUACAAACUAAAAUGUAAAAGCAACAAUGAUCUAUCUGUCAAAACAUGAAUUAUCAAGCUAAAAAUAGCAGCAAAACAGACACACACAGUUGGGGAGAGAGAGCGGUACCAAUAGUCAUUAUGCAGGAAACAAAGGAAAAGUUGUUGUUAUUGUUGUUGCUGUUGCUACUACUUCUACUAUUAACUUUGUAUUCUGCCCUAUACCUGUAGAUCUCAGGGCAGUGAACAAUACAAAGUUACAAUAUAAAAACACGAAAUACAUAAUAAAAAUAAUUAAAACAAUUAAUAAUGCUAGUGUAUACAAACUAAUAAGAAACACACUCCCCCAACAAAAGCCCCUAAGAAUCCCCCAGCCCGCAAAUACAACAUUCCAAAUUAACAUAUAACUUUUAAAGCAACCCCACCCCCCAUUCUUUUAUGCAGACUCGCCCCGUUCCAAAAAUAGGAAGGAAACCUAACUUCUUGCAGCAGGAAGUUCUAUAUGCAGGGAGUUUUCUCAGAAAAGACUCUCUUGUGUGUUGCCACCAACCUUCCCCCAGAAAAUAACGGCAUGCGCAAGAGGUGUGCAGCAACUAAUCUUAAACAAUGAGCAGAUUUACUACAUAAUAAUAAUAAUAAUAAUAAUAAUAAUAAUAUAUUUAUACCCAGCCACUCUGGGCAGCUCCAACAGAAUAUUAAAAGCACAAUAAAACAUCAGACAUUAAAAACUUCCCUAAACAGGACUGUCUUCCAGAAGCUUCUACUCCUCUUGGUAUGGGAAAUGUGCUUGGAGGUGUAUGUGCGAUGUGAAGUUAUACAGUGGUGCCCCGCAAGACAAAUGCCUCGCAAGACGAAAAACUCGCUAGACGAAAGGGUUUUGCGUUUUUUGAGUUGUUCCGCAAGACGACUUUCCCUAUGGGCUUGCUUCGCAAGACGAAACGUCUUGCGAGUUCUUGCGAGUUUGUUUCCUUUUUCUUAAAGCCGCUAAGCCGUUAAUAGCCGCUAAGCCGCUAAUAGCCGUGCUUCGCAAGACGAAAAAACCGCAAGACGAAGAGACUCGCGGAACGGAUUAAUUUCGUCUUGCGAGGCACCACUGUAUAAAGAUUGCAUUUAGCCCUGGUAGUGUUAAAUGUAUUUUUAAAAAAUAAAAUAAAAAUCAUUCCAGCAAAAGAAAUCUCAGAAACUGGCGAGACAGCUGAAGAGAAUUUCUAGCAAGUGGGAAUGAAUGAUUCAUUGCUGCAUCACUUCUUCCUUGUCUCUUCCCAAGAUUAGCAAAGGCAGAACAGCAAAGACUGCAAUCCUGUUGCCACUUACCUGGGAAUAAGCCUCAUUGAACUCAUCUAUACAUCCUUCUGAUGUAUAGAAUUGCACUGUGAAUUGUGCAAAAACAAGGGUAUCUUAAUGAUAUGAUUAAUGUUUACAAACUGAAGGAGCUUGCUGCAUUUCAGCUUUCUGUGGGAAAAUAGUACAACGUAUGCACAUAGCCCUAAUUAAACUCUAGUAAUGAUCCAAAGGCAGAAAGGGCCUCAGUGAUGCUGCAGAGUUUUAUAUUUAAUGUCUGACUGACAUUCUCACAGCUCCUUCCAAGGACAGAAAGCGAAGCUUCGUAUGAAGGUCUCUUGGGGUUCACACAUCCGCUGCUAACCUUUCACUCUUGCAAAGCCUUUUUAUCACAAUGAGAGGAUGCCAAGAUCUUGAUACUUGGGGAAUGGAACUUUUCUGUUUUUGUAAAUAAAAUCUGCAUUUUCUCUUCUUAUUAUUUGCAACUGUAAACCGUUGGUGAACAGAACAGGUUGAAUCCCUGGGAUCUCUACUCCUCAAGCUCUUCCUGCUCCCAAGCACAUACCACCUCAAGCGAGAAACUUCCCAACCAUAACCUGGUGGCUCAUGAAUUUUCAGCCCUUCUGCCUCAACUUGUGGACGCUGAGGACUAAGCCGCAUGAGUUGCCAAAUAAUUAUUAUGCACCACUUUCUGUACUACAGUAAGGUUACCAGAUGUCCCCGUUUCCCAGUGACAGUCCCCGGAUUUACAAAUCAGUGCCCAUAUAAAAUCCAUUGAAGUUGAAAAGAGUCCCCAGAUUCAUUGAAAAAAAUCUGGUAACCUUAUACUACAGUAAUACAGUGGUACCUUGGGUUACAUACGCUUCAGGUUACAGACUCCACUGACCCAGAAAUAGUGCUUCAGGUUAAGAACUUUGCUUCAGGAUGAGAACAGAAAUCAUGCUCCGGCGGCGCGACGGCAGCGGGAGGCCCCACUAGCUAAAGUGGUGCUUCAGGUUAAGAACAGUUUCAGGUUAAGUACGGACCUCCGGAAUGAAUUAAGUACUUAACCUGAGGUACCACUGUACCUCGGGUUACAGACACUUCAGGUUACAGACUCCACUAACCCAGAAAUAGCACCUCGGGUUAAGAACUUUGCUUCAGGAUGAAAACAGAAAUCACACCGCGGCAGCAGCAGGAGGCCCCAUUAGCUAAAGUGGUACCUCAGGUUAAGAACAGUUUCAGGUUAAGAACGGACCUCCAGAACUAAUUAAGUUCUUAACCCGAAGUACCACUGUAUUUUACUUCAGAUUGUAGUUGGGGCUGGCCAUGUUAUUGGAGGCUCCAUCAUAUUUGACAAAAAUAUGUAAGCACGUCAAAAACUGGCAUGCCAGGGGAGAAGAAUGCCAGCCUCUCCUCUCUGGUACAUUUGUUUGCUAUGUCCAGAUAGGUAAAGGGACCCCUGACCAUUAGGUCCAGUCGUGACCGACUCUGGGGUUGCGGCGCUCAUCUCACUUUAUUGGCCGAGGGAGCCGGCGUACAGCUUCCGGGUCAUGUGGCCAGCAUGACUAAGCCACUUCUGGCAGAGCAGAGGAGCACACAGAAACGCCGUUUACCUUCCCACCGGAGUGGUACCUAUUUAUCUACUUGCACUUUGACAUGCUUUCGAACUGCUAGGUUGGCAGGAGCAGGGACUGAGCAAUGGGAGCUCACCCCGUCAUGGGGAUUCGAACCGCCGACCUUCUGAUUGGCAAGUCCUAGGCUCUGUGAUUUAUGAGUUAUAUGGAAAAGCAGGCUGUCUACAACCUGACCCAUUUGUAGUAUAAAAAUGUAGUUUUCCCUCAAUCAUAGUCAUUCAAGCUCAUCCUCAACAUGCUGCUUUCAAUCUAGACUGAGUCUAGGUGCUGCGUUGCACAAAGGCGAGUGUGGUCGCUCGAUGCAUGUUUCAAAACACUCUUAUUAGCUGAGCCAUGACUUUUCCUCCCAGCACAUGUCCCAGGUGAAGGUAGAAGGAAGUGGUGAUUGCAACCCACAAUAUCCUUGUGGAUACAUCCCCCAUUUCCGGGACUGCAUACUUUUGUUUUCAAAUUGAGGCGCUGCGUGGUAACACAGAAUCGAUGAAGCUUUUACUCUCAGAAUGAAACUGGUUUCUCAAGAAGCGUUUUCCGGGGGCAAAAGAAAUAUGCAAUAGAUCUAGAUUGUGUGAGGACUGUCUGGAAAAAGCAAGUACUCAGUCUCCAUUGAUUCUAGAAUAAAAUGUCAAGCACAUGGGCCCAAGAGCUCUAAUGUGAUACAGUGGUACCUCGGGUUACAUACGCUUCAGGUUACAGACUCUGCUAACCCAGAAAUAGUACCUCGGGUUAAGAUCUUUGCUUCAGGAUGAGAACAGAAAUCGUGCAGCGGCGGCGCAGCGGCAGCAGGAGGCCCCAUUAUCUAAAGUGGUGCUUCAGGUUAAGAACAGUUUCAGGUUAAGAACAGACCUCCGGAAUGAAUUAAGUACGUAACCAGAGGUGCCACUGUGUUCCACAGAUCAUGCAGCUUGAUUCUUUGUGCAGUGUUGUCUUGCAAGAUGGUAACUCAUUCCUCAGCCACAUUACCCAGGGCAAUCGAAAGCCCUCCUUGCUAGAAUGUCUAUUUACUCUUCAUUGCAAGAGGCAACAUUCCCCGGCAACAGCUGCCGCUGGCUUCACCGCUGCGGCUGCCAUCCCACUGCUCCUCAGAGGCAAAAGGAAGAUACAGAAACAUUCAGGAGCUGGAAAGCAGCGAAUGCAGGAAGGCAGGCUGUUCACUGAAAUGAAGGAGCUCAGGGAGCCUCACAGGGGUGCUGUUUGCUUUGCAGGGAACUAGUGGGCUCUAGCAUGCAUCAGAGUGCUUGCCUCCUUUUCCCCAUGCAUCAUCAGAAUAAUAAUAAUUUAUUAUUUAUACCCCGCUCAUCUGGCUGGGUUUCCCCAGCAACUCUGGGCAGCUCCCAACAGAAGAAGAAGAAGAAGAAGAAGAAGAAGAAGAAGAAGAAGAAGAAGAAGAAGAGGAGGAGGAGGAGGAGGAGGAGGAGGAGGAGGAGGAAGUGAUCAAAAAAUCAAACAUUAAAAAUUUCCCUAAACAGAGCUGCCUUCAGAUGCACAGUGUAUAUAUUUGUAAAUAACCAUCACUAAAGGGACGUGGGUGGUGCUGUGGGUUAAACCACAGAGCCUAGGGCUUACCGAUCAGAAGGUUGGUGCUUUGAAUCCCCAUGACGGGGUGAGCUCCCGUUGCUCGGUCCCUGCUCCUGCCAACCUAGCAGUUUGAAAGCACAUCAAAGUGCAAGUAGAUAAAUAGGUACCACUCUGGCGGGAAGGUAAACGGUGUUUCCGUGUGCUGCUCUGGUUCGCCAGAAGCGGCUUAGUCAUGCUGGCCACAUGACCCGGAAGCUGUACGCUGGCUCCCUCGGCCAAUAAAGCGAGAUGAGCGCCGCAACCCCGGAGUCAGACCUAAUGGUCAGGGGUCCGUUUAGCUUUACCUUUUAAGCAUCACUAAAGCAGGAUCUCUCCAGGAAAACAGACCCUGCAUUGGCUCUCUCCAGGGACCUUCCUAUCAAUCAGGGAAGCACAGGGCCCAAUAUAUUUCUGGGUUUCCAGAGUGCUUUAUCAACCACCAAGACAUGCACAAUUUCCAGCUGAAUAUUGAUAGUGUCUUACAGCCAGAGUACCAGCCGUCCCAAAUAAGAAAACUGCAAAGUGAGCAUAUUACGUGCCCAGAACUAUCAGCGGACUUUUUCCUCAACUCAACCUGUUUACAGCGUGUCAUCCUGCUUAUUGCAAGGGAGCAAGGUCCUAGAGGGAGGCAGCGAGGGAGCGUCUCUUUGCUGUUUAUCUUACUCCAUCUGCUGGGAUCUGCUGUUCCUUGCAUGAGCUCCUCCUCUUAGCUAGCAUUAGUGAAUCAUCACUCUUCUUUAGCCAAGAGUCGGGAGAAGCCGGUGCCAAAAAUGGGACUCAAGCGUUUCCCACGGAAAGCCUCAGAAAACUAAUCAGUGGGACACCUGCAACUGAAAACCUCCAAAGCCAACUGAGGCUGCAAAAAGGGCUCACAGGAUUGAGCUCUCAGACAGCUUAUCAGAUCCGAGGGGCCAGUUGUGCCAAGUGUACAUAUGCUCUGGACAGCACACUUUGAGGCUUAAGCUAUGAGACUUUAGCCAGUGCGGAGAGAGCUGGGAGAAAAAUAAACUGAUUGCUAUGAGACAAGCAGAGGCUGACAAGGAGAUUCAAUGGGAGUUGACCACUGACAAAGGAUGACAGGGAAAGGAAGAACAAUUUCCAGGACUGGCCCAUCAUGGAGACAGUGGACCAAGAACCAGACAAAUUGAGGAUGGCAUCUAGCUAAUUCAGGGGCAGUGUGUGCAGACCCACACUGGUUUGGGGUAUUUUGGUUAAAAGAUAAAAUACAGUCAUACCUCGGAAGUUGAACGGAAUCCAUUCCGGAAGUCUGUUCGACUUCCAAAAUGUUCAGAAACCAAGGCGUGGCUUCCGAUUGGCUGCAGGAAGCUUCUGCAGCCAAUCAGAAGCCACGUUGGACAUUCGGGUUCCAAAGAACAUUUGCAAACCGGAACACUCACUUCCAGGUUUGCGGCAUUCGGGAGCCAAAACGUUCACAUCACAAAGCGUUCAUCAACCAAGGUACGACUGUACUAGGUGUGAUAAAAAGGAGAAUUCCCUAGAUGCCAAGAUCAAGGUUUGAGGCAAGUAUGCUUUGAUGAAAGAACCCCAGCAGAGAUUUAAAAUGACAAAGCAUGCAGCAAAGCAGAGCAUGGAAAUAUAAGCUGUUAGACCUUUAAAAAAUCUCCUUCUAAGUUGCUUCCAAAGUUCCCCACUUCUCUUAGUAUAGAAAAAGACCACAUGUUUGGCAAGCUCAAAAAUGGUUUACUUACAAACUCUUCAAAGGUCAGAUUUAUGCGUUCUUCCAUUCAGCAGCAAGAAAACACAGGCAGUAUAACUUCCAAAACAGUAAAGGUUUCUAAAUUAUUUGUAUAGAAAAACCAAGAUGGCUUGCUUAAGCUUGGAGCAUCCAGCUUAGAUCUCCAUACUGGUAAGGUUCACAUGGUGGAAUGGGAAGAACAAAGGCUUGAUAACCCUUCCUUCCAAGGGCUAACCUAGCUAAGCCUGGCAGGACAGCUUACUCUAUGGUCUUAACUCCCUUCAUGCAUUAAUUAGACUUAAGCAUAUUGGUUAUAUGAAGUUGGAUAUCCCACACAAACCUUACCAGGUCUUUGGCCAGUUAAAAGUGCACUCUAUAAGACAGCACAUCAAUCUUAGUUUCAUCUUCUUUACCCUAAUAUACAGAUAUCUUUUGGGCUAGAGAGUUACACUGCAAAAUUCAAAGAAGUGCAAAUUUAUAGGACAAAUGUGUUUUGAGUUUGCAUGAAACAUGAAACAAUUUUCAUGAAGUAUGGAUGGGGUAGGCUUGUGUUAAAAUCCAAACCAGAGCAAAUUUAUAUCCCAUGCCUACCUAUGACAUAGCACUAUACACCAUUAUACUUGUACUUGGGCUAUGUGUGGAGGAAUUAUUUUAAUUAGUAACAUUAUGCUAAUGAGUGGAAACCAAGCACUGAAAAUUUUAACAAAUCUAUCUCCUCCUCGAUAGCCAUUGACUUGCCAGCAUUUUUCCUCCUCCUGUCUCUCCUGAUUCUAGUGAUCUUCUGCAUCGAUGCAAUCAAGGAAAUUCUCCUCUGUUAAUUAAAAAAUAAUUGCCAUUUAUCAUAAAUUGCCAAGUUUUCUUAGAACAGCACAGACUGCUUCCCACAUCCAAGAGUCCCACAGACUCAUGCACACAAUAAAGGCAUCAAAUCCCUUGUAAGGCUUAGCAAAUUGCGCACUCUGCCUCUCAUUAGGUUUUUGGUUUUUUUUACCUCCUCUUGUUCCAGAAAAGCUGUGUUCUUGAGUCAAAUACAGCACAUCAGUGGCUGAGACACACUAAUUAAAUUUCUGCAGUUGCAGUUGGGAAUAGGAAGCCGAAGACUCUACAUUAACUAAUUCAGAUCCAAAAUGUGAAGGGAUGCUAAUUAUUUUCGCUAUUCACUAUUCAAAAGGGAUGAUGAGCUACCUGGUAUUUCUGAAUUUGCUGUUUUGUUGAUUAUGCUUCAAGUGUGCUACACACAUCAGUGACUGAUGCAAACCUAAUGAAGUCAAAAGGUGCCCAAGUAAAUUGCAGUCACAAGAUGAAAAUCCAAAUGCAAGUGUUCAUCAGCGGAAAUAAAUAUCCAAUUCUGAUUUGUCAAAACAACUUGUGACUUCCCUCUCUUUUCAGACUUCUCAACUGGUUUCCCUUGCUCAUUGACCUCUUUCUGCCUAGCUGAAACUCCCUGGCCCCUCCCCAUUUCCCCUUCCCUCUCUGAAUCCCACCCAUUGGACUGUAAAGCCUCGGAGCUUUGCUCUUUACCAGUGCCCCAUUCAUUGGGAGGGAGGAGGAGGGAAGUGAGCGGCAAAACAGACCAUCUAGGAGAUGUGCAUCACUCUACCUGCAAGGUUGGCAAACACAAAGCCCUCUGCACAGCAGCACACAGAGACAUUUCCAGGUGUCCCCUUCUGCACAUCACCAGCCAUUGGUGCCAACUCCAGAGGGCCCUGGGUGCCUGGGCACCCAUAAAAUUUUCACUGUGGGUGCCCAGCCUUGGCUGCCACCCCCACCUGCCGCCUUACCUCUGGCUCCACAGUGGUGACUGGGCUGGGGCCGGGGCCUCCACCGUGGGGUCUCUGUUGGAGCCCACUGCAGCCUCACCACCAACACAGAAGCAGGGAAGCGGCGCCUGAGAGCUGCUGAAGUUGGUGGAUGAAAUCCUGCCAUUCUGAGAUCCUUGGGUCCCGGAGCUGAAGCCUGGAUACACAGUGCGAGGCAGCAGUGCGGCUGGUGGCAGUGCUGCGGUGCUGUGUGUGGCGGUCAGCUCAGCGGGAUCCCACCUUCGUCGCCAGUGAAAUAUACUCAGAGUCGAGAGUGGAUUUCAUGCUCUUUAUUCAGCUCAUAGUGGUGAGCAGGAAUGAAAGUUUCCCCAAAGUAUCUGCUUUAAAAUACAUUAUUUACACAAUGGGCUGCACGUGAUUGGCUAAUUCCAGAAUUCUCCUGUAGGCCAAUCAGGUUGUGGAUUCACUUCCAUUUGGAGCCGGAUUGGGUGGCUCCUGCAGACCAAUCAUACUACUGCAUUGUUCUAGGACCAAUCAGACUGCUGCAUUCUGAAUCCUAUUGUUCUAGGACCAAUCAGACUGCUGCAUUCUGAAUCCUAUUGUUCUAGGACCAAUCAGACUGCUGUGUUUUGGAUCCUAUUGUUCUAGGACCAAUCAGACUGCUGCAUUUUGGAUCCUAUUCAACUCAGUACAUAACACCCGAUCUCUCCACUGCUUUGCCUGGCUUUGAACCUCUGAAGUGGCAUCCUUGGCCCUAACCAGAGACACCUGUGGAGGGGCUCCACCCGCAGCUUCCCCUCUCAAGGCCCAGCAGAGUGGGACUGAUCCAUCCUAGAGAGCAAAGCGGCUCUGGCUUCGCUCACUUGCCAGGCCGAAAUUGGGCAACCAUGCAAGUAGCAUCAUCAUCAUCAUUUAUUUAUACCCCACUGAUCUGGCUGGGUUUCCCCAGCCACUCUGGGCAGCUCCCAACAGAAUAUUAAAAACACACCAAAACAUUAAACAUUAAAAACUUCUCAAUACAGGGCAGCCUUCGGAUGUCUUCUAAAAGUCAGGUGGUUGUUUAUUUGACAUCUCAUGGAAGGGUGUUCCACAGGGCAGGUGCCACUACCAAGAAGGCCCUCUGCCUGGUUCCCUGUAACCUCACUUCUUGCAGUGAGGGAACCGCCAGAAGGCCCUCGGAGCUGGACCUCAGUGUCCGGGCUGGAGGGUGGAGAUGCUCCUUCAGGUAUACUGACCCGAGGCCGUUUAGGGCUUUAAAGCCUGCAUGGUUUGCUGAGGUGGGUAGGGGGUGGCAGGAGCCUCGGAGGGUCUCUUGGGUGGCAGCCUGACCUUUGGCUGGCAACCUCUGCACAGCAGCGGCGCACACAUGUGAUGUCAUGACGUCACCGCAUGCAUGCACCACUGAGCACCCACUGGCAGGGGCCCAAGAUGAAGUCCAUGAUGAAAUGGCUCUGCCAAAUAAAUUCUCUGUUCUCACGUUCAGGAAAGGGUUGACAAGCCCCUUUUUCUGAGCCUUGGUUUGUGCAGGAGAAAACAGUGGAGGUUCCUAGUGAAUUGUGGUCCAUGCAAACCCCUUUGAUUGGAGACUUUGCUGGGGGAGGGCAGGAAGAAAGCUCUCUUAGGACUGUUGAGAAUUCUGUUCCACCUUAAGGAACAGACAUGGGAUUGUUACGUGUCACAUGUCUGUUUACAUUCCAGCACAGCUUGCUGGGAACUUCCGUUUGUGUAUAGCUUUUUGCUUUUAGCUGUUCUGUCUGAGACGACAAGAGAGAGAGAGACAACAUGUUUCUUUGUCCUGAUUUAUGAUUAACAAAUCUGUAGUUGUAGUAUGCUUCCACAAGCCUCACGCCUAUCUGCUGAUAGUGUGCCCUGGCUGAAUAUGUCACUGAUUUAUGUUGGUGAUGGUCUUUGCAGCGGGACGGCUGGAAGGAGAUGGCCCAGCCUGGGCUAGCCAGCUGGCCUCCUGGCCCUCUGCAUGGCAAUAAGGACCUGAGUUUAACUUCCAAGCUGCCAGUGGUUCAUCCCAAUGCUAAGGCUCCUGCCCAAACCAGGAAUGAGCGGCAGAAAGCAUAAUAUACCUUGUCGAUCCAGGCAUGCUCUGCUAAUGAGCUAAGCCCUCUAGAGGCACAGUUAGAGCGCAACUUGUGGAAAAUGUAAGCCACGUGACAGGCCCAAUCAACCUCAGAGCUAGUCCGGGGAACGCUGAGAUUCCAGAGGGAGCCAAUCACCAGGUUUCCAUCAUCACCAGCUUCCAGGAGGGAUUCGAUGCGGAAUGAAAACAGUCCAAUGGGAAACAGCUGAAGAGCCUGUCGCACAUCAGCAUAUCUAUCUGGCAGGCAGCUUCCUCGAAGGCGACUCUCCACGCCUGGCAUCUCACGCAGCUUUGCACAUGACUCUUUUCCCUUUCAGUCAUGCUGAUCCAUAGCUGGCAGAUACCCUCCCUCUCUGGAUGGCAAGCUGCUUUCAUCACACAGACGGCAUUCGCCGCUUCCCAGGAGCAGGCCCGCUCUUCCCUGUUCCUCACCAGACAAAACGGUAAUGGGGCAAAGACCCAAGGAAGAAAAUGGGGGGAAGAGAGUGCCUGCAUCUUCACUCUAGAGUGCUCUAGAGGGGUGGUCAACCUGAGAGUAGCCUUGGUUAUUUAUUGGGAAGCAACCAAGUGCCCCACGGAGGACCUUACAAAACAAAAACAUCUUGGAGGUCCCGGGCCACAGGGAGGUUAGGCUGGCCUCAACCAGAGCCAGGGCUUUUUCACCUGUGGCUCCAAUCUGGUGGAACGCUCUGUCACAAGAGACUAGGGCCCUGCGGGACAUCUUUCCGCAGGGCCAGCAAGACAGAGCUGUUCCACCAGGCCUUUAGCCAGGGCACAGCCUGACUCCCUCCUUUGGCAAUCCUCACAGAACUCUAGCCCAAUGGUUGCCAUUAACCUGAUUUGAACUGAUUUUAUAAUGAAAUGAUUUUAGAACGUUGUAUUAUUUUACUGUUGUUAGCCACUCUGAGCCCAGCUUCGGCUGGGGAGGGUUAGGGUUAGAAACUUCCCUAUACAGGGCUGCCUUCAGAUGUCUUCUAAAGGUGGUUCAGUUACUUAUCUCCUUGGCUCAGGGGUGGCAUAACUCCAUACCCUCCAACAUGAACCAAUGAGUCUCCAUUCAUUUUGAAGCAACUUGUUUCGUUCUUAUGCUUGUUCUGCACAUACUUACGUAUCUACCAGGGUACCAGGCUGGGGCACAGAGCUGCUGCACAAAAAGGAGUAUAUACACAAUGGUUUCCGCUUUGCAAAGACCAGGCUGGAUUAGAAGGGAUGGUAUUAUUCUCUUGCCCCCUUUGGAUCAGGUUUAACGUCUGGGGCUUUCAAAUUGCAGGGCUCCUGCAGCCUGCCAUUAGCAUGCAGCAGGAAGACUCUGGUUGACUGCAGCAGUGAAAAGGCAGAAAAAUUAAGCCCACCCUCCAACACUCGGAGGAAUCAGAGGGAAGGCAGCAGGGCAGGAAUGGGAAGAAAGGACCACCAAAGCACACUAACAAUGCAAUCCUAAUCAAGUCUACCCAGAAGUAAGUACAACUGAAUUCAGUUGGGUUUGCUCGCAGGUUGGGAUUGCAGCCUAAAUGGAUUCAUUCAGCCCAACAUGUUGUGUAGACAUGUGUUCCAUUGAAAGCUGGAGGCAAAGGGCAGCUGCAGGUGAGGGCUGGUGGCAGGCCUGGUGGCAGCACUGAUUCAUGGGGCAGGGAAUGGGAGUGGAUCUGGGGUGAGUUGGGGAAAAUUUGCCUGCAGCAGCAAAUAACCAGCUCAUAACCAACCACGAUGGCCAUGACCAGUGCAGUAGGUCAAGGAUACUUUAGUUCUUCUGUAGUCACAUAUUAUCAAGGAGCUGUCAAGGAGCCAGGUCAACCACAUCACAGGCACACGGGAUGCAAUGAUGCAAUGAGCUUUUUAUUAGCAGAAAAUAACAACAAAGUACACUGGUACCUCGGGUUACAGACGCUUCAGGUUACAGACUCCGCUAACCCAGAAAUAGUACCUCGGGUUAAGAACUUUGCUUCAGGAUGACAACAGAAAUCGUGCGGCGGCAAAGGGAGGCCCCAUUAGCUAAAGUGGUGUCUCAGGUUAAGAACAGUUUCAGGUUAAGAACGGACCUCCGGAACGAAUUAAGUACGUAGCCAGAGGUACCACUGUAGUGUGCUCUGGUUUGUCUUAAUCCAGCUGAGAUGUUGCUGAAACUUACUGCUCCUACCUCCACCCUUCCUAUGCUAGCCUUUCACUCUGCAUCCCUGCCAAGCAGACAAAGGCUGUGUCAAGGGGGUGAGCUUCUCUGGGCCUAUGUGGCCCAUUGCUCAGCAACGUGCAGGACUCUCCUCGAGUGGGGUGUCAGAUGGGGAGGAGAGCCUGCAGGACUGGGGCUGUCCUGCUGCUGUGUAGCAGGGGCAACCUCUGUCUGAAUCUGCACUCACACUAUGACUCUCAGCCUCUAACCUUGUUUUGAGAGCCAGUGUGGUGUAGUGGUUAAGAGCAGUAGACUAGUAAUCUGGUGAACCGGGUUCGCGUCUCCGCUCCUCCACACACAGCUGCUAGUCACACUUUUUUGAAGUCUCUCAGCCCCACUCACCUCACAGAGUGUUUGUUGUGGGGGAGGAAGGGAAAGGAGAUUGUUAGUUGCUUUGAGACUCCUUUGGGUAGUGAUAAAGCAGGAUAUCAAAUCAAAACUCUCCUCCUCCUCCUCCUCCUCCUCCUCCUCCUUCUUCUUCUUCUUCUUCUGGAAGGGCCUUGAUCACUCAAACUCCCUGCUUCUAACACAUGGGUAGGCAAACUAAGGCCCGGGGACCAGAUCCAGCCCCAUCGCCUUCUAAAUCUGGCCCGUGGACGGUCCAGGAAUCAGCUUGUUUUUACAUGAGUAGAAUGUGUCCUUUUAUUUAAAAUGCAUCUCUGGGUUAUUUGUGGGGCCUGCCUGGUGUUUUUACAUGAGUAAAACAUGUGCUUUUAUUUAAAAUACAUCUCUGGGUUAUUCGUGGGGCAUAGGAAUUCGUUCAUUUCCCCCCCAAAAAAUAUAGUCUGGCCCCCACAAGGUCUGAGGGACAGUAGACCAGCCCCCUGCUGAAAAAGUUUGCUGACCCCUCUUCUAGCACCUCUCAGCUCGCUCCUUCUGCAGACUGCCCAGGAUCCAGGAUCUAAGUCAUCUGUGCCCUCCCUGGGGGGCUCUUCAGUGGGUGGCUCCCAUCACUCUUCCUUAGCCAGCCUGUCCCUGCUGCCAUCUAUGUAGUACUGGCACCAUCAAGUGCAAGUAGUUCAAGCUGCCACAUCAAACCUCUUCCCAGGUGAGAGCUUAUAUAAAGCAGCAAUGACAACAAAAACCUUCCAUUGAUUUAUCCUUUAUUAGCUCUCCUUUAGCAAGAGCAAACAGGCACUCAGCUUAAAUUCUGCAGGGCCGGUAAUACAGGCAUACCCAAUUUGAAGCACAGAUGUGCAGUGGGGGGCAGGGAGCAGGGAGGAAGGGAAAGGGAAAUAUGGAUUGCAGUUUUCCCCUCAAUCGAUAUUGUUCCAUCCUGCCAAGACAGCAUGAAUAACAUGCCUGCUGGGAAGCACAGGGGUUAAUUACCACUGGAAAUGUACGAACUACCCCGAGAUCUAUGUGACCAGGUUAGCCCAAAGACUGAUUACCAUGAUGAAAAAGCCAUUAAGAUCAAGACAGUCUGUCUCGUGGCCAAUCCCUCAGACAGAGUUCUUGGGUUCACCUUGACGAUACACUGCUGAUAAGGAUGAUAUUCUCUCCCUUUUUCCCCCUAGCACUCUCAUUCAGCUUCUGCAUUUUCUUGUUGGGAGUUAAGUGGUGAUUUAUUGCUUAGUUAGGCACCAUGAGCCUGGCAUAAUACAAAAUUAUGUGGGAAUGCCUACUGGACUUUGUAGAGACUGUUUAUAUCUUUCUUUAUAUAUAUAUUUUUAUUAGUUUUACAUAAAAGUUAUACAUCAUAAACAUAAUAUUUUCACACUUUUUUAAAAGAGUUAUUUCAAACCUUGAGACCUCCUCCCUUCCCUCCAUGGGUUCCUAUUCUAAAUUUUAUUCCUGCAUCUUUUACUGUAAUCUAUAUGUUAUAUGGAAGUGAGAGCUGGACCAUAAAGAAGGCUGAUUGCCGAAGAAUUGAUGCUUUUGAAUCAUGGUGCUGGAGGAGACUCUUGAGAGCCCCACAGACUGCAAGAAGAUCAAACAGAUCCAUUCUUAAGGAAAUCAGCCCUGAGUGCUCACUGGAAGGACAGAUCCUGAAGCUGAGGCUCCAAUACUUUGGCCACCUCAUGAGAAGAGAAGACUCCCUGGAAAAGACCCUGAUGCUGGGAAAGAUGGAGGGCACAAGGAGAAGGGGACGACAGGGACGAGAUGGUUGGACAGUGUUCUCGAAGCUACAAACAUGAGUCUGACCAAACUGCGGGAGGCAGUGGAAGACAGAAGUGCCUGGUGUGCUCUGGUCCAUGGGGUCACAAAGAGUCGGACACGACUAAACAACUAAACAACAACAACAAUCCAAAAUCCAUGUUACAUUACAAGUGACAUUGUAUUCCUGCCCAUGAUUUCAACUGUUUACCCAGUGAUCUCUCAAAUAUGUUAGAAAGUCAUUCCAUUCUUUUAAAAAUACUUGGUCUUCCUGAUUUCUGAUCUUUCCCGCCAGUCUUGCCAUUUCUGCAUAUUCCAUCAGCUUGGCUUCUCUGGGCGGUAUAUCUUUUUCUUUCCAUCUCUGGGCAAGAAGCAUCCUAUGGCCAUGGUUUUCAGUUACCAUUGUCUUUCAUGAAUUUGUCUGUACCUAACUAUUGCCGAUUAUUCACCAAAGCCAGACUAAAUGUAUUUGCAUCAGAAGUACUAAACAGCAGACUGUCUGGAAUAGGCCCGGUCAGAAUAGGCUCUGCUUAUGAGCCAAGGGUGUCAACUCCAUGAAGCACAUCCUACUGCACUGUGAGCAGUUCAAACAAGCCAGGGAUCAAUUAAUUAAACCCCUAUUGGUAAACCUAACUGGAAAAUCCAAAACCUUCCACCUUAAGUACCUCCUUGGAGAUAUGUCAAAUGAUACUACCCUGGCUCAUGGCUCAGUUCCUCUCAGAACAGAAACAUACAUACUCUGGAUAAAACCUAGUGACCGCCCUGGAAUCCUUUCUUUGCAUUUCUGUUUUACUUUGCUUUUGAAAAUGUUUUUGUGGGUCUUUGGACGGAAAUAAAGAAACCAGAUCAGGUUAUCACUGGUAAAGGAAAUGCUUUGCUGGUCAUAAACAGAGGUUUCACAGGACCCAGGACCCACAUGCAAACAGUUAAGGAAAUACAGUGGUACCUCAGGUUAAGAACUUAAUUCAUUCUGGAGGUCCGUUCUUAACCUGAAACUCUUCUUAAGCUGAGGUAAAACUUUAGCUAAUGGGGCCUCCCACUGCUGCCGCGUCACCAGAUUUCUGUUCUCAUCCUGAAGCAAAGUUCUUAACCCGAAGUACUAUUUCUGGGUUAGCAGAGUCUGUAACCUGAAGCGUAUGUAAGCUGAAGUGUUUGUAAGCCAAGGUACCAUUGUAACACUGUGGCACUGCCUUUGGGGGCCACUGCUUCUUGCAACUGGGACCUAAGGGAAAGACUCACUAUAAAAUCAGUAACUGCACAGGAUUUUCCAGCCAGAAAGCACACGGAAUCCUGUUUGAGGAUGCUCUGUCCUCAGCAAUAUAAACUUCAUUAUGAAUGUAAGUGUAUGCAGCAGCCUCAUUAUAGCACUGCGGCAGUAAGAGGCGUCUCUCUCCCUUCUUCUCUGCUGGAGGAGAGACAAAUCUAAACUGCAGGCCUCUUGAAUAGCCUGCAAACAGAAAGCCAUGCAGAGAUGAGGUCACAUUCAAGCCGAUUCACACUUUUUUAAAAAAAAGCUGACAUUGGUUUAAAAGUUGCUGAGUCAUCAGCAGUCAGCUGGAGCAGUAAGCAGCUUCAGAUGGGUGAGGUGGUCCAAGCAGAGUCUUACGUCAAUACAGAUAGAGCAUUAGUUUAAGAUCUUACAAAUUAAAAAAGUUAAGAGCCUCAAAUAAGUGAGUUUGAGAGGGCAUUCAGAUGAACGUUUUAAACAGAUGUUUGCACAAACCUUGCUUUCAGCAGUACAGAGCCCUAAAUAUCAGGAACUGGGAAUAAAUGGUAGGACAGAAUUUGUUAUUAUUAUUAUUAUUAUUAUUAUUAUUAUUAUUAUUAUUUUAUUUAUAUGCUGCCCAUCUGAUUGGGUUUCCCCAGCAAUUAUAAGUAACUGGUGACUGGGAGUGGUCACAGAGACCACAGAACACCAGUCCUAAAGAACCUAGUCAUUUUGACACUUUGGCAGCCUAUUUGCAAAUUAACAAUUCCAAAACACAGACGCGAUUUCACUUUCACAAGAUUGAAUAUACUGCCUUCGGCUGUACUUGAGGGUUGAUUUUUUAAAAAAAUCCACUGGAAAAACGGUUAUGUCCCUGUGGAAAUGGCAGUACAGUCGUACCUUGGAUCCCACUCAUACGUUUUGGCUUCCGAACGCCACAAAUCCGGAGGUGAGUGUUCCGGUUUUCAGUUACAGGUAGGUAGCCGUGUUGGUCUGCCAUUGUUGUUGAUGUUUAAUCGUUUAGUCGUGUCCGACUCUUCGUGACCCCCUGGACCAGAGCACGCUAGGCACUCCUGUCUUCCACUGCCUCCCGCAGUUUGGUAAAACUCAUGUUCGUAGCUUCGAGAACACUGUCCCGCCAUCUCGUCCUCUGUCGUCCCCUUCUCCUUGUGCCCUCCAUCUUUUCCAACAUCAGGGUCUUUUCCAGUGAGUCUUUUCUUCUCAUGAGGUGGCCAAAGUAUUGGAGCCUCAGCUUCAGGAUCUGUCCUUCCAGUGAGCACUCAGGGCUGAUUUCCUUCAGAAUGGAUAACAAAAAAAAAAAAUUUAAUUUUUUCUUAUCAUACCAACAACAAACUUAGUUGGUCUCCAAGAUGCUACUGGAAGGAAUUAUUAUUAUUAUUAUUAUUAUUAUUAUUAUUAUUCUGGUUUGCAAACGUUCUUUGGAACCCGAAUGUCUGGCUUGGUUUCCAAACGUUUUGGAAGUCAAAUGGACUUCCGGAACUUAUUCCAUUUGACUUCCGAGGUAUGAUGGUAUUGAGUCAGUGGCUCAUGUGCUUCUGACUUACACUCUUUAUAAAGAUUUGAGGAGUGAGGUUAUUAUCCCUCUAUUAUUGUCCGUACCAGAUCGCUCAACAAUUGCUACUGUGUCCUUUCUUUUGAGAAGAUCACGAUGAUCAGGGGAUAGCAAAAACUACAAGGUUUUAGCAGGGACAGUUAGAAUAAGAUCUAUUAUUUGAUUAUUGAUGUAAAACCUCAAAUGUAUUUUCUAUAGUUAAGUUUUUACCUCUAUCUUUAGUACACUUUAUUUUAUUUUAUUGCUAUGGCUAGUGGCUGAUGCAAAUAAAGAGUCUUCUGAUUCUGUUUCCUCUAUGUUUCUGAGCGUGAGUUGCUGGGGAGCUUGGUUUUGCCGUUCGUAAGAUAUUUUCCCCAAACUUUCUGCUUUUUAAAAAAAGAUACGAAAUAAAAAUCUGUAUUAUAUUUCACUGCCGCUAGCAGACUUGCAUUUGGGUGAGAGGAGGUGAGGGUUGUUCAAACCGGAAUUGUUAUUAAAAACUUGCUUGAUGUUCAACAUUCCCAGCUUCAGAACAUGCUGUCUGAACAGCUCCUGCAGUAUUUGAAGUUUGAAAAAAGAAAGAAAAGAAGAAUCAGCUUCCAUUUCUGAAACUUUGGCAUUCUUUGCUAAUUCAGGCUGAGAAAAUGUGCCUUAGUUAACAUCACAAGGCAGGAAGAUUCCCGAAAGUGGCUGUCACUCACUGGCAGCCGGCAUUGUACCAAGUGGGAUAUUUAUAGCUCAUGUGUUUCCUAUGCACGAUUCUUUUCUCUCUUAAUGAAAAGGAAUGCCAAAAGGGGGGAGGGAAUAGAAUGGGCGUUGGGCGCAAAAGCAUCUCUCUCCCCACGCACGUAUAACGUUCCCCACUGGUGUUUCUGCUGUGCUGCCUUUUACUCCAGCAGUGAAGAACAAACCGCCUUUACGAUUCCCACAGAGGAACUAAUUGGAAUAUCCCCGGCUUCUCCAGCAUGGUGCCCUCUACAUGUUGCUAGAGUCCCAAUUUUCUUCAUCCCCCACCAAUGGCCAUGCUGGUUGGGGCUGAUGAGAUUUGUAGUCCAACAACAUCUAAUAGGUACCCAGUUGGGGAACCCUGAAUUAGACUAUGUGCCCAAGACAGUGUGGUGUAAUGGUUAGAGUGGUGGACUAUGACCAAUAAUCAGUGACUGUUUUUUUUUAAAAAAAAGGCAAAACCAGGGUCCUUUAUGGCAGUCUGGUGGGAAUGUUUAGGCUUUGUUUAAAACCAUCAAAUGCAUUCACCUCUUCCUCCAGCAGCUAUGGACCUCUGGGGUAAGGUAAAAGGUAAAGGACCCCUGAGUGGUUAAGUCCAGUCAAAGGCGACUAUGGGGUUGUGGCGCUCAUCUUGCUUUCAGGCCAAGGGAGCUGGUUUUUGUCCACAGACAGCUUUCUGGGUCAUGUGGCCAGCAUGACUAAACCACUUCUGGUGCAAUGGGACACCGUGACGGAAACCAGAGCACAUCUUCCCACCACAGUGGUACCUAUUUAUCUACUUGCACUGGCGUGCUUUCAAACUGCUAGGUUGGCGGGAGCUGGGACAGAGCAACAGGAGCUCACCCCGUCAUGGGGAUUCGAACCGCCAACCUUCUGAUUGGCAAACCCAAUAGGCUCAGUGGUUUAGACCACAGCGCCAACUGUGUCCCAAGUAACAUGCUCUACACUCAUCUUCCUCCUUAUUUAACCCUCAACUUCUUAGUUGUUAUCUUAACCAUACUGAUCUAUUAUAUCCUUUAUAUAUAGUAUAGCAAUAUUAUGAACAACUGUUAUUGCCUUGUGGUUGUUAAUAUCUUUGCAAAAUAUUUCAUUUGAAACUCUUAAUAAAAAAUAGUUUAAAACCAUUUGUUGAAAACAUGCCUUAUUAAAUCCACAAAGGAUUUUUUUAAAGAGGAUUUUCACUUUUUGUUGUUGUUGUUGUUGCUUUUGGCCAGCCGACUCAUUUCAGCUGUGCUGGGAGCCCCCAUGGGCAAGCAGGGGCUUCUCCCAGCUGUUUACACUGGGGGGGGCUGGUCCCCUCAAAUAUUUUAGAAUGUAAGAGCCUGCUGGGUCAGGCAAAUGAAUGACCCAUCUUUUUUUCUAUAAUUUUUAUUAAAUCUUCUGUUUUACAUUUUAAAAUAUUCAUUUAAACAACCUUAAAAUAUCAGUGACUCCCCUUCUUCUCUCCCUGGUUCAUUUUGCAUAACAUAAAUCCUUGCAUGUUUUACAUAAUGGAAUUCAGAAUUCCAUUAUUACAUCCAUCAAAACUUAUUUACACUGUUGAAUUUAUCUUAAUGCUGCCCACAUUUUCAAAUAUACACAAUUUCCCCCCAUAUAUUCAAUAAACAUUUUCCCAUCUUCUUUAAACGUAUGCUCUUCUUGUUCUCUUAUUCUAUAUGUUAGGUCCGCAAGUGCACAUAUUCCACCAGUUUAAGUUGCCAUUCUUCUUUAGUUGGGACUUCACUCAUUUUCCAUUUGGGAGCUAACAAAACACAGGCCGCCGCAGUGGCAUACAUAAAUAACAUUUUUUGACACCUGGGAAUUUCCAUCUGAAUUAUCCCCAAUGAAAAGGACCCUGGGGUUUUUUUUGCAGGAGAGGGAAACUACUUUUAAACAUUUUUUCAAUUCAUUAUGAAUUAUUUCCCAAUACUCCUUUACCCUUUUACAGGUCCACCACAUAUGAUAGAACCUACCCUCAGCCUCAUUGCAUCUCCUGCACUUAUCUGAUUCAGUCUUAUACAUCUUAGCAAGUCCACUCAAAGUUAGAUACCAUCUGUAAAUCAUUUUCAGGUAGUUCUCCUUCAAGGAAUAACAUGCUGUAAAUUUCAGAUCGCUCUUCCAAAGUUUCCCCCAGAGAUUAAAAAUCUAUAUUUUGUCCUAUAUCUAUUGCCCAGUGUGUCAUAUCAUAGAGGCUUUGACAUGCUGUCUUUUGUUUCCCCGUCUAAUCCAGGAUCCUGUUCUCUCACAAUGGCUAUUCAGAUGCCUGCAGGAAACCAAAUUUAUCCAAUUAAACUUUUUAUUGCACUAGCCAUAGGCCAUGGCAUCAUUCAGAAGGAGAACAAAAAGAAAACAACAACAAUCACCAUAAAAAUCAUCGGGCACAGACAUACAAUAAAACCACGGUCACGGCUCCUAAAAUUAUUUGUUGCAUUAAAUAGAAUAGAAUAGCAGAAGAUUCUCAGGUAAGAUGUGCCAAAUUAAAUAUUGCAGGAAACCCACAAGCAGGACCCGGGUGCAAGAGCACUCUCUGUUCCCGCAGUUCAAAUAACCACGCAAGCUUUUCCUUUGCAUGUCAACAUUUUGUGCCGUGAGAUCUCCUUUUCCUUUGGAAUCUGCCGCCCACCUUCUGCCUGAAGCAUUGUGAAAACAAAAGGCACAAACACUGUGCAUAAUUUGCAAUCAAUCGCAGCAGAUCAUGUUCUAGGUAAAGGUAAAGGGACCCCAGUUGUGACCGACUCUGGGGUUGCGGCGCUCAUCUCACUUUAUUGGCCGGCGUACAGCUUCCAGGUCAUGUGGCCAGCAUGACUAAGCCGCUUCUGGUGAACCAGAGCAGCACACGGAAACGCUGUUUACCUUCCCGCUGGAGCGGUACCUAUUUAUCUACUUGCACUUUGAGGUGCUUUUGAACUGCUAGGUUGGCAGGAGCAGGGACCGAGCAACGGGAGCUCACCCCGUCACGGGGAUUUGAACCGCUGACCUUCUGAUCGGCAAUUCUUAGGCUCUGUGGUUUAACCCACAGCGCCACCCGCGUCCCGCAGAUCAUGUUCUAUUCCCCACCAAAAGAAACCAUGUGCCGUGUCCUCCAUUGCACAAAUGGCAGUAAAUAAGAUAUUGAGAGAGCGAAGGAUGGUCUAGGUAAGCAGAAAGGUUUAGGGCAUUCGCUCCCAAAGUAAUAGUGACAUAUCUUUUGGCAUUUCUGCUAAAUCCCUCUCUUGAGUUUUCAUUUUCCUCUCCUGAGAUGAAGCCGUGCUCUGGCAAUGCAGGAAGAAGAACCAAUUUUCCCACUUAACUGUUGUUUCAACUGAAGCUCUAGUAAGAAAAAUGCUCCUGCGAGCUCCUUUUAUGCAUUCUCACAAAGAGGAUCCAGUCUUCAUUUGGACGGAUUACAUUUACAUCCUGUCACAUCCCGUUAGGUUGUUUACAGCCUUAUGCAACUUUCUCACCUUAGCUGCCUGUAUCGCAUCAGCAUGAAAUAAUAUAAGGCAACUAUUAAGUGGGGGGGAGAAUAUUCUCUAUAAAUCAAACUCCCAUCUAGGCAACAACAGAAGCAGCCUAUUCACUUUUGUGAGGCUUAAUAUUCUGAUAAAUCACAGGCUCUACCACUUUUAUCCUACUUGCCAAGCGUUCUCUUUUCUCCCUCAAGUCCCUCCUCAGAUGUGUUUUUUGAAAAACCAAGGCUAUUUGAAAUCACAAUGGGGACGUGCAACAAAAGUGUUCCAGUUUAGGCUUCCGGCCAAUCAGCCAUCCCCCUUUGCAGGAUACUCUAUUCCAGCUUUCCCGAAUGCAGUGCUGUCCAUAUCAGUGAUAGAACGACUCAUGCAACACUUUGGUGAUUAAUAUACACAGAUCAAUAAUGAUGCAUACUUUAUCAACCUUCUGAGAAAAAUACAAAACAUUAAACAAAGCCACAAAGACUUGCAAACUACCCAGCCUAAAAUGAACUUAUAAUGUCUGGUUUCAAUAGAUUUUUCAAAUGCUUGGCUCAGUCUAUUAGAUAAAUUCAUGAAGAUACCAACAAAAGGUAAGUUUGGUGAUAUUCACAAUACAGAGAGAUGCUAGUGGAGUUGUAGAUAGAUGUUAAUAAAGUUGUAGACAAUGAAGUUGUAGACAAUUGGUGCUGGCGUUUUGCACCUGUUUCGCCCUGGCGGUCCAAGUAAUCAAAAGGCCGCUGUUCGCCCCCGAUGGAGCCCUUUAACUGGGGCUUGCAGGUAGCAGACUGCCAAGAUAGUUUUCCAGGCUUCUUCAGUGGUCUAAUCUCAAAGUCUAGAUAUUUAUAUUGAUAUUCACUGAUAAUAAUUCAAACCAAAUCUUAUUAGAAAUAGCUUAAUGCACUUCUAAAUGAUCAAUUAAAUCAAAAAUACAUAUUCAUUAUACAUAAAAUCAAACUUACUACAGAAAUUUAUACAUAUCAGUGAUGGCUGGUGCUACUUGGGACCGGAAGGGAGGCAAGGAGAUCUAAAAGCAGAUAUAGCCAGAGCCAAUGGCAGGUGGAGCCAACUAAUUUUGGUUUUGUCCCCCUGCACCUCCCUGCUAAGUCUCUCAAGGGGAGACACUGAGACGGAGGAAGAGGACACUGUCCAUGGUGCUGUCAGGAGUAGGAGUCAGGAGGAAGUUGGCAGUAAAUCAUCUGGCAUCAAUGAAGUUAACUUUUCAUUCAAGGAAACAAGGAACACUCGGGUGGCUAGGCCUAGUGAGCACAAUAACUCGUCCUGGUAGAUUUUGCUGCUAGGAAGCAGUUGUGAAGACUGAAGUGUCACUGAAAUUCUACUCAAUAUUGAUCCAGAGUAGAUUCCAGUGUACAGUUAGCAGAGUAAAAACUUAAACAGGUUGCAGGAUUCCCCAAAAAUAGACCAGAGGCAAUUGUCUUUCCUCCAGCAGAGCUUUACUGCUACUGAAGGCAAAUGAGCAUAAUGGUCACAAAUCCAAUACAUUCAGGAUUGACCCUGUCCUUUAGAAAUCCAGUUGCAGCAGACUUAACUUGAACUGACAUUAUCUUAUAAUAAGUCUAAAACCUUACACUGAGCAUACAGAACACCACACCAGAAAGAAAAGAGAGAGUAUGAAACCCUGGCUCCUUCUGGCCUCACUAUUAUAGUUAGCAUGACCUUGACAGAAAGAGAUAAGAGAACCAGUUUAAACCUGUCAGGGAGAGGCAAACAGGACAAGAUGAAAGGACAGAAACCAGCAGUUAUAGAGAGCCUAAAGAGAUUAUCAGUAGCUUCUCGUCUGAGAGUGGGUCUGACGUAGAGGGGGAGGAGAAUGAGCCUGGAACAAGUCAUUCUGGGCACAGAGGAAGUAAGGGGAGGAGUUUUCGCAGACUUGCAUGCUGGGUGCGGAAAAGGAGGAAGAAAGAUUAGAGGGAGCAACUGCGCACAAGGGGAAGGACGCUAAUGGAAACGCUGGAGAUGUACGUUUGAACUUUGUCAAAUAAAUCAAUUGUUUGGAACUGGCUGGGAGCCCGGAGUCUUAUCUAUGGCCAGCUGGACAGCACUAAGCCUCUGACAAAACCAGCUGUACUCCGCUUCUCUGAAGGGUUAACUCAAACAAUAUAACCCAAACAUCAUGAAGUUUUUUUCACACAGAGAAGCUACCAGGACCCUCUUGAAUUAAGUAGAAUAGGAAAAAUCUCUGCACAUCAGAUCAAUAAUUUCUGUACUAAGAAAUGCAAACUGACCUGAAGGCCCCCUCCUUCCCACAGGUGCCCAAAUGUCGUCCUCACCUGGGUCCUUCCUAAGCAAUCUGAGACUUGGUUGCCUUGCCUCUUUUUGCUCUGCCCUUUUCAUACAUCUUCUGGUUCCGGGAGACCAGGGGAAAGGAGCUGGUCGCAGCAGGAGGGGGAGAUCCCUUGGCUUCUUCACCAGCCAGACUCAUCUCUGCCUCUUGGCCUCCCUCCUCUUCUGCUUCAGCUUCUGCCUCUGAUUCUAGACUGCUCUCUGUCACAGACUCUCCCUUCUCACUAAGUCCUGUUACCUCUUCAGCUUCUGACACCUCCUCCUCACAGUCUUCUCCCUCUUCUUCCUCUGACCACCCAUCAUCAUCCCACCACCCAUUGCCAAGUGAGUCCACUGUGAGAUGCAUGAGGAAGCUGUGUGGGUUCUGUGCCAUCCCCUCUGAUUGGAGUAGGAGCAGCAAGAUUGCUUUAAAAAAUACAGGCUGGGAAUUACAGGUACCGAGAUUCCAACGGACCAGAAAGGACUUUUUAUGUAUGCAAACAGCAGCCGCGUGGGUGUUGCUAGCUCAGAGAUGGAAGGAAGAAACAAUUCCAAGGAAGAAUGGCAAACCAAAUUGAUGGACUAUGCUGAAAUGGCAAAAUUAACUGGGAAGCUCAGAAACCAAGAACUUCAAAAAUGAAUGGGAAAAAUUUAUAAUAUAUUUAGGAGACCAUUAUAAGCUGAUGAAAACAUUAGCAGGAUUUUAAUCACACUUGUAAGGUAACAGAAAAUAUGGACAAUUUAGAUGGAUAAAAAAAUUGGAUAACAAGCUGAUAUGCAGUCGUAAACAUUGUCAUCAGGACCCAUGGAGGGGAUGGCGGUGGGUCCUGAGAUUCAGAGUAGUCUCUUUAUAUGUUUUUUUAAAAUUGUUUUUGUUAUAUGUUUAUGUUUUCUUAAAGUCAAAUAAAAAUUAUUUAUAAAAAUAAAGAAUACAUGCUGGUAUAUAAGCAGAUUGGUUAGAGGAGAAAAAGUGUCCAUAAUUGUGGGUGGGGAAUGUGAUGCCUUGACAGGGCAUUGGGGAAUGAGGCUUUUGGCUGAGGGCAAUGUAAUGAUAGGGUUUAUAAUUUAGAGAUAUUCCCUUAGGAUCAAGGCAUGGGUAAUUUGAGGACUUGCCUUGAGGUACCAUCACCCAGGCGGCUCCAAAGGCCUAAAGGUUGUUGCCAGAAGUUGGUCUUAGAGGCCCUGGUGAAUAAAGUUGCUUCGAGCCAUUUCUUGAUCCUCUAGUCUGUCUGCAGGCCUGGAAUCAUUACUGGUAGAAUCUCCUAUUUUAUCCCUGACGGGGGCUCCGCUUCUAGAGGUGAGAUGUUUUCCUAGCAUGAUGCGCAUUACGCAUGCACAGGGAAAAAAUUAUGAGGAGAAUCUUCCACGGUUGCAAAUACCACCGUCUCUCCCUUUCUCACACCCACCCACACACGAAAGCAUCUCUGUCAGUCCCCGAAGAGAUCUCCGUUCAGCCAGCCAGUGUAAUCUGCUUUGCUCACAAAUCCCAACAGAGAAAAGGUUUGGGAACGCUUUACGUGGUUUCCGCCAAGAAAGCUAAACACAAGCAGAAGAGAGGACUUUGCAAUUAAGGCCUUAUUAAAAGGAACAUGCUGCUGCCACAGAUCAGCCACAGGCUUAACAGAAAAUGUACGGGAGACGAAAAAGGGUUUUGUUUUAGAUUAAGCACUCAGGUAAGUCUUAAAAGGGUUGUGGGGAGGGGGGGAUAAUGGAGCAGUGUCAAAGACACAACUCUGUGUUACGGGUGCCACAAUUCCUGUCGACAAAUUUACAUUUUAAAAAAAAAAUCACCCUACUUUUUAGAUCUACUAAUAAUAAAAAGAAGCAUGGAGGUGGGUAUCUGUUGAUGACACACAGCCAGAAUUUGGGCUCUUGGUCAGUAGUCAUGUGUAGGUUUCUUUAUCUCCUCAGACUUAUCCCACCCAACCUCUCAGUGGGAGCCCAGAAGAGCUAACCAGUGAUUUUUUCUGGGGGGACGAAGGGGGACGCACACCGCUAAACAUUUUGUGAAUCUUUGUACUUUUGUUCAUUUACUGUACAGCAGUACCUCGGGUUAAGUACUUAAUUUGUUCCGGAGGUCUGUUCUUAACCUGAAACUGUUCUUAACCUGAAGCACCACUUUAGCUAAUGGGGCCUCCUGCUGCUGCCGCCCCGCCGGAGCACAAUUUCUGUUCCCAUCCUGAAGCAAAGUUCUUAACCCGAGGUACUAUUUCUGGGUUAGCAGAGUCUGUAACCUGAAGCGUAUGUAACCUGAAGCGUAUGUAACCCGAGGUACCACUAUUUAUUAUUCCCGAUUUGAACUAGAAAAUGGUGGUUUUCUUGAGUCAAAAUGAGAGUACCCCUAAACAUAUUUUUUUGUGUGGGGGAAGCACUGGAGCUAACGAUGCGGAGCAUUAUAAUCACAAAAAACCCAGUUAAAAUAAAAAUAUCAAAUAAAAACCAGAAUAAAACAACAUCAGCAGGAUGGGCAGAAUCAUCAGUUGUGUCCCAAAGGCCUUUCUGGACAAAUAAUCAAGUGUUUAAGGUAAAGGUAAAGGUAAAGGUAAAGGGACCCCUGACCAUUAGGUCUAGUUGUGGCCAACUCUGGGGUUGCGGCGCUCAUCUCGCUUUAUUGGCCAAGGGAGCCGGUGUACAGCUUCCAGGUCAUGUGGCCAGCAUGACUAAGCCGCUUCUGGUGAACCAGAGCAGCACACGGAAACGCCGUUUACCUUCCCGCCAGAGUGGUACCUAUUUAUCUACUUGCACUUUGAGGUGCUUUCAAACUGCUAGGUGGGCAGGAGCAGGGACUGAGCAAUGGGAGCUCACUCCGUCGUGGGGAUUUGAACCGCCGACCUUCUGAUCAGCAAGUCCUAGGCUCUGUGGUUUAACCCACAGCGCCACCCGCGUCCCUUAAUCAAAUGUUUGUGCCUAAAUGAGGCAGGGGAGGGGUCAAUUCAGCAUCACUUAGGAGUCCCAUAAUCCCAUGGCUACCACUGAGAUAACGGAGUCAUAUAAUUGUAGAGUUGGAAGGGACCACAAGGAUUAUCCAACCCCCUGCAAUGCAGGAAUCUUCUGCCCAAUAUGGGCUUCGAACCCACAACCCUCAGAUAGAUGAAGAGUCUUGUGCUCUACUGACUGAGUUACCAAGGUGGAUCACACAGGAGACAAGAUGGAGCCUUCCACCACUUCACACGCGAACAGGGACUUUCAGAGACUAGGUCCCUGCAUCCCUCUAUGGCUUCAUUUCCACACAGUGACCUAGAUUAGCUGCAAGGAUGUUGCUUGCCUAGAGUUGGAAAAACACUAAGAUCCCUACCAUGGUGGACUGACAGAUUAAACUAUUGGAUUAUGCAGAGAUGGCAGGAAUGACCAAGAAAAUCAGAAACCAGGAGGAUCAAAACUCCAAUAAAGAAUGGGAGAAAAUUAUAUUAUAUUUGACAGACCACUGUAAACACUUGAACUCUUCGGCUGGUUUUAAAUCACUCUUCUAAUGUUACAUAGAUUUUGGAGACAAUGGAGGAUUGAAAAUUAGAAGGACUUAUAGUAUGUAUUUGGAAAAGUUAGUUAAAGAACCCACGAGGAGGGGGAGUCUUAAGAUUCAGAAGAAUCUCGUGUAAUUUUUAUUAUUUGUGAUUUUGAGUGUGAAUGAAUUUGUAAAAUCAAAUAAAAAUCUAUUUUUAAAAAAGAUAUAAUGAUUGCUGGUAUCAAAAUACAACUAUUAAUUCUCCUAACCCUUUUUGAAAUGAGUUUAGCCCAGGUCAUCUACUAAGGUGUCCACUAGAAGAGGAAGAAUGUGCAAUGGACCCCAUAAACCUUUUUGCAAAAAUUGAAUAUUUAUUUAUUUUAUGUGCUUUGUUUGUUUAUGUGUUUAUCACUGCAAUUCAACGCAAAAUACAAAGGCUUAAAAACCAAACUAACAGCUAAAAGGGAUAAUAAUAAUAAUAAUAAAUUUUAUUUAUAUCCCGCCCUCCCCAGCCGAAGCCGGGCUCAGGGCGGCUAACAACAAUAAAACAGUACAAAAGUACAGCAUAAACAACAUUCUAAAAUCAUUCAUUCUAAAAUUAAUUAAUUCAUACACUAGUUCUAAGAACAAGUCCUUCUACUGGUGUAGCAAUAAAAAUACUAGGACCUUUGCAAAGCUAAGCAAGAUCUGGUAUGGUUUCAGAUGGGAUGGGGGAACUAUGUGUUGAGAUUCCUGCAUUGCAAAGGGUUGGGCUAGAUGACCCCCGGAGUCCCUUCCAGCUCUAAAGUUCUGUCAAGAAAAUCCUCCUACCUUCAGCGCAGCAGCUCAGCCACCAAAAAUAUGGAGGGUCUUGAAACAUGCUGCCUUUUCUCAAAGUUAUUAUUCUGCCUCUGCCAGAAAUUAUUCUGCUGCCUGCUAUUUUACAUUUUCCCCUGGGAACAAAGGAAUUUGAUCGUUUUGACUCCCACUCCACACUGAACAGUUCCUAAAUAAAUGGUGGGAGACCACAACGCAAGGCACUUAAGGCAGAUUUACGCAUGCAGAGAAAAUCAAUCGCACGCUGCAUGGCGUCUCUUUCCUGGAGCUGCAACAUUGCAGAGAAGAGGGGGGCGAAUCUGGUGUCUGAAUGUUUCCCUGUGUUGCUUUAAAAAACCUGCAUCUUUACACAAGGGGAGAAUGUCAAGGAGAAGACAAGGCUAAACUAGACCCCUACUCUCCAACACAGUAGCUUGCCCUGCGCAAGAAGAUGUUUUAACGAUAAUGAAGCCUUCAUAGCAUAGUGUGUAACCACGUCGAGACCAAAAGGGAGUGUGAUGCUCCAGGCAUCCCGCAGGGAUCUUUCCAGGAUUAAUUAAAUGAUCACAGUGCUUCACUUACAUCCAUCCAUUAUCUCAGUCAUGUUUACAACGGCCCUGCUAGUUUAGUCCAGUAUUACCAUCAGCUCUAUUUUUCAGAGGGGAGGGAGGUUGUGGGGGGAGCAACUGCUUUGCAUGCAAAAGUUCCCACCAUCUCUAGGCAGGGCUCUCCUCCCCCCCUGCCCCUCCACCCCCAAAUCAGCUCUGGGGAUUAGGAGUUCCUCUGAGGAACUCAAAGACAGUGGUAAUUGAAGAAUAGAAGGUAACGGCUAGCUGAUCUGGUCUGGACUGCAGGCCAAGUUAAAACUGCAACUUUGCUUAAAGUUCCCCAUUGCCAUGGCAUUGUUUAAUGAAGGUAGGAGCAUGUAACCGAUGAAAUGUACACAUGUGCUGAUCAUGCCUCAAGUAGCUUAUGCAUAUUCAUAACUGUGGCGAUCACACAGGGUCCCCGGACGUUUGACGGUCUAUUGACCCUGUGCCACCACUGUAAUUGCUUUCUUCGCUGCCACCAACCCGUUUCGCACGGGCACGCACGGAGUCCAGACAGUUGUUAACAUUAACAAAUAAUCAAGUUUAUUUUUAUCAGAAUGAACAAGCUUAUGUUUUCAGUUAAUUUUUCUUGUCUGUUUCUUAAUCUUAGUUUCUUUACUGUCUUAUAUGUUCCUAACAACUUCAAACUGAUUAUCCCAACUAUCUAUCUGACUCCACCUAACAGUUCCUCUCACUCUCUCACAACACAACUCAACCAACCCACAGACUUAUCCUCCCUCUUCCUUCUCCAACUCCCAACUCUCAACUGACUUCCACACAACUCCUACUCUCACUCUAACUCCUCCCCUCUGUUUCCACUGGCCAAUCACUUCACACUCAUUUAACCCUUUCCUUACGACCCACCUAGGAGGAAAACGCCACAAUAACAUGCAGUGUUCACGUGAAACUUUGCAGAUAAAAAUGAGCUCCAUGACUUUGUAUGGCACGCAGAAUCCCGAAGUGUUAACUCUCUGUGCCUCUUUCUCGCUUAAUCUUGAAAUAAACUUUUUUAAAAAAAUCUCUCCACCCCUGGAAGUGAUUUUAUCGGCUUUUAAGUCACCCAGGAACAGGGUCCUUUGACCCCCACUGCAAUAUCCUUUCCCUGUCUGUUUCUUUUUAAGAAACAACUUAUUACAUCCAAUAGGCCCAUCCCCACCAAAAGUUAUUUCACACAUAUUUUUGACACUGCAGAAAAUGUGCCGCGCUGCGCAUUAACACACAUUCCUAAUGAAAAGUUUAUAUGCAGAAGUGCCUUUAUGCAAAUUUAACUAUGACCCUCAAUGCAUCCUGAAGAUUAUUCUGGUGAGAGAAGAGCGUCAAAAUGUUAGCCGCAUAGGCGACUAAAUGGAAGAGGGUUGCAUUUAUAUUUCGUUUCCAGCUGUGUCACAAUUCUUUAGUGCCCAUGUGCAGAUUGCGCAUGAAGAAAGAUAACUGGAUGGCGCCACAUAUGGCCAGUGAAUCAUUGAUGAGACUGAAGCACCCAGCCUUCUUUACAUCCAAAACCCAGAAGCUGGAUUUGUCUUUUCACAAGCUGGAUGUUGUGAUUCAAGGACCUGCCACCAGCUUGGGGAUAAGAAAGACACAUAGGUUAAUGGGCUAAAAACGGCCACAACUUUAUUGAUUUCAUCAUGUGAGAGGUAUUGGCUUAGACAUUGCAUAAAACAACAGAGCAUGACUCCACCCCCCUAGGGAAGGGGUGAGUCUAUCAAGGGUUAACCACCAGUGGGAGGAGCCUGUUGAUACAAAUACAACUGAAAGCUCCCCCUGAUAUCACCGGGGGUCAUGCCAUGGCCCUAGCCAACAGCAAAGGCAUCGGACAGGAUCCACGACUGCCGGAUUCCUUUACCGGAAUACCCAUAAAGUGGAGGGGUAGGCGAUGGCCACACCCUGCCCUCCAAUACACAAACAUAUUCCAAUGCCUAACCGCCAAUACCUAAAAGUUGUGACAAUUUGCUACGAGGUAGGUGAAAAACCAAGUGGCCAGUGCCAAUUUGCCAGUUGGAUAAAAAUUCCUACCAGGCCCCUUGGCCAACCAAGGCGACCAACCAAAGGUCCAUAGCAAGGUCAAGAACGAAGCAAAGAACUAAAGGGAGGGUGGGUGGGUGAUCCGACAAAAACCAGCAGCAGAAUGAAAGGAAAGUGCUGCCGCGGCCACAUUUGAGCUGAUUGGUUGGCUACCUGGGGGCGUGGCAUGGCAGCCAGGCCAGCUGGGGAGGGGCUGGAACUCCCCCUGCCAAUGCGGGAAACGGCUCCUGCUCACAACUCCUCCCCUCUGUGAGGAGGAGAGGCUUUGUGAUCAAAAAGAGAACUGAAAAUAUCAGGAGGACGAUGCACAGGCUAAAAUGCCUUUGACACCCAUUUUGAGCACAAAGGCCUUUGGUGAUGCUGGCAACCCUGCCCUGCUUUGACCUUAAAACGCUCCAUUAUUUCUCCAGAGCAGGACCUGCCUCUGUCUGAAAGCCCUGAGGAAGGCUAUCGAUUCUCAUCUUGGCACAAAGCAGCGUGUUAAGUACAGAGAAAUUGGGUCCAGCCUUCCAUUUGACCUUGCCUUGCCGGUAAUUACAAAAUGGUUCCAUAACACAGUCUCUUUCCUAUCGAUUCAUGCCAUGUAGACAUAACCUUUAAUCCCAGAACAGGGACCUUCUCCUUCUCCCUGCAAACUCUUAGUAAGAUACAUGCCACUAUAGCUGUUAGAUAAGUAGUCAAAACAUGGGAUGGUCGCUGCUUAAAACAGCUUCCACACUGGUACGUAGUUAGCAGUCGCCAUUUUAUUGCAUGUCCUGGCUGGUGAAGAUAACUUAUUAAUGUAAUGAAAAGGACCUGUAGCUGACAGGAUGCCUUUGUGAUCCUUCCAUGUAGUAGAGGACCUUCCAGAUUUACCAUCCAAUUUGACAGAAAACCCAUAGCAAUAUGAAUUAGACCUCAACGCAAAACUUCUGAAUUUCCUUAAAGUAGGACAAGAGAACAUAUCAUCAGGCACAUGUGAAAUUAUGCACAAAACCAUACACCAGUUGGAACUUAGGUCUCCCUAGUCCUAGUCUAAUACUCUAACCACUACACCACAAUGGCUCUCCAGUGGCGGAGAAAGGGGGUGCGGUGGGGGUGGUCCACCCCGGGUGUCAUCCUUGAGGGGGGUGACAAAAACCCCCCAUGGUGGAUCACUGCCGUGCCAAUAUGGACACCCAUAGCCCUACAGCUGGGGGGGAGGCAGCGGGUGGACAGUGGGCGGGACAUCCCUUUGGGCGCUGCAUGCACUGGCCCUAUGGGCGGUUCGCCUCGCCCCUGGGCGCGCCACCCCCAGGUGCCCGAAAUGUUUCCUCUGCCGCUGUGGCUCUCACCAGAUAUUACCAGAAUAUUCUGGACCAGUGAUAGGUCCCCUAGAAUGAACAUGUUUAUCGACUUAGGCAUGAAAAUAAUUACAGUGGUACCUCUGGAUAGGAACGGGAUCCAUUCUGGAGCCCCGUUCACAUCCAGAAGCGAACGCAACCCGCGUCCACAUGUGCGCAGGACGCGAUUUGCUGCUUCUGCGCAUGCGCGUGAUGUCAUUUUUACCGUCUGCGCAUGCGCGAGCGGCAAAACCCAGAAGUAACGCAGCGUGCAACCCAAAAAUACUUAUCCCGAAGCUACUUCAACCUGAGGUAUGACUGUACAGUCAUUCUGGCUCCAUUUACCCUUUCCUGUCCAAAGAAUAUCCCACCGCCACCAGAAAAAAGAUUGAUAUGCGGUCCCAAGGAAAGGGAAGCAUACUUGAUUGACAAAAUGACCAGAUGACAAGAGGAAAUGUACAACUGAUGUGAAGCGAUAUGAAAAGGAUCACAAGUUGGCAUGUCAUUUCUUCAGCAUUUAAUUUAAAGCCAUCAAAAUGGAAAGUUAUAGCCAAGAUGGUGACAGCUGAGCUAAUGAAAUACAGAUCAAGCAGGCUUGCUUUAUAGUUAUAUAAACCUAACACAACCUCUUUCUUUCUUUCUUUCUUUCUUUCUUUCUUUCUUUUUCCUUCCUUCUUUUUGGACCACCAGAGGCCUUGGGUGUCCCAAAGCAAUAGCCUAACGUGCUAAAUAUAGAAAAUAGACUCAUUGACCCAGCAGUAUAACGUUUCCAGCACUUUCCACUCAUUGUGUGGAGACCACCAAAGUCCCAUCAUAGGAGAGUACACUAUAAACAUCCACUCCUUUAAUUACUCCCAUGGAGUGUUUCCUCAGAAACGCCACGUCUCGUAAACAGAAACUAUAUUUUAUACCAGUCAUUCUCCUACCUAAAACCAGAUCAGAUUCCCCCCAAUACACCAGUCCCAGCAGCUGCCCGGAGGCACAAUGCGCUAUCAUUCUGCAAGAGAAAGGAUAGUUGCAAACAUUGAUUCAGAAGAGGAAAUUUCUGGUUUACCUGUAACAGAAUUAUUAUUUUUGCUCUGCACCCUUGACACAAAUCAUACAAUCUGUCCGGCUGUCGGCGGCACUUAACAGCAGCAAACCACUAAAGGCUCGUUAGUAACACAAACUUAAACCUUUGAGGUUUGGGGCCCCAGGAGAGCAAACAAAGGUUUGCCACCAAAUACCCUCAACGGGGAGUCAAUCAAUCCUGAAUCUCUGACAGUGAUUGCACCUGUGGCGCACCUGCUUGUCAAUCAUACUCUUCUUUUUUAGGUGUGCACUUAAAAAACAAAAAACAAAAAAACUUAGGUGUACACCAAAAAAACACAAUUCAUAGAAUCAUAGAAUCAUAGAGCUGGAAGAGACCACAAGGGCCAUCGAGUCCAACCCCCUGCCAAGCAGGAAACACCAUCAGAGCACUCCUGACAUAUGGCUGUCAAGCCUCUGCUUAAAGACCUCCAAAGAAGGAGACUCCACCACACUCCUUGGCAGCAAAUUCCACUGUCGAACAGCUCUUACUGUCAGGAAGUUCUUCCUAAUGUUUAGGUGGAAUCUUCUUUCUUGUAGUUUGGAUCCAUUGCUCCGUGUCCACUUCUCUGGAGCAGCAGAAAACAACCUUUCUCCCUCCUCUAUGUGACAUCCUUUUAUAUAUUUGAACAUGGCUAUCAUAUCACCCCUUAACCUCCUCUUCUCCAGGCUAAACAUGCCCAGCUCCCUUAGCCGUUCCUCAUAAGGCAUCGUUUCCAGGCCCUUGACCAUUUUGGUUGCCCUCCUCUGGACACGUUCCAGUUUGUCAGUGUCCUUCUUGAACAAUUUACGAAGAGAGCUCUUAAUUUUCUUUCUUUUUCUUUUUUUUAAAAAAAUGUUUUUAUUAACUCUUUUAUCACUGUUACAAAAGUACAUACAGCAUCUCUGCUUUCAGUUCAUAGAGUUCUUUCUACAGAUCAGUCAUAUUUGAUGCGAGGCACUAAUGUUAUGGACAGUAUAAACACUAAUGUUAUAGACAGUAAACUUUCAUUCUGCUACAUAGUGUAUGUGUGAGGUUUUUGUGUCAGUGUCACAUGGGUAGGUUCUGUUUCUAUCCAUUUAGUAGUUUUUUGUUAGUGGUGAGAGAAGAUUGGGGGACCCAGGGCAAGGCUGGUUGCCUUUAGUUGACGGCAGUGAGUUUUGUUUGCGUGUGUGAGGGGAAAGGGGUUGUUAGGUCAAGUUAGCCAUAUCGAUUCAUAUGCUGUCUGUGGGUUCCUGUUGUCUUGUUGUUGGGCUGUGUAUGUAAUAAAGGGGAGUCACAUCAGGGUGAAGGCAUCUUUCUUUGUUUGUCCCCAUGCCGGUUUCAGUUUGUAGGUUAGUUUUUCUAACAUUUUCUGAGUCAACCUAUGAUGAGGCUGACCAGAGAAGGUUGUUCUCCUGUGAUUUCACUCAGUGAUUUUUUCCUGGGGGUAAGCAGGGGUACGCAUACCCCUAAACAUUUUGUGAAUCUUUGUACUUUUGUCCAUUUACUGUAUUUAUUUUCCCCAAUUUGAACUAUAGAAUGGUGGUGGAGAAUGGUGGAGCGCCUCCACCUCCAUCAUUCUUACCAGACACUGAGGUCCAGCUCCAAGGGCCUUCUGUUGGUUCCCUUACUGCAAGAAGUGAGGUUCUAGGGAACCAGGCAAGAGGGCCUUCUUGGUAGUGGUGCCCACUCUGUGGAACACCCUCCCAUCAGAUGUCAAGGGAAAUUAACAACUAUCUGACUUUUAGAAGACAUCUGAAGUGGUUUUCUUGAGUCAAAAUGAGAGUACUCCUAAACAUUCUUUUAGAAAAAAAAGCACUGCCUAUACUUAUAUCGGAGGAUGCUCCCCCCCCCCACUGCCCUGCAGAAAGUUCCCCAGGAGGAAAGGCAGCCUCAAGAAUGAAAAUGAAACCUUAAUACCUGCUGCAAGGUCUCUGUCUCGCCAGAGUGGUGCAUGCUCUAGUUAUCUCCCGCUUGGACUACCGCAAUGCACUCUACGUGGGGCUACCUUUGAAGGUGACCCAGAAACUACAAUUAAUCCAGAAUGCAGCAGCUAGUCUGGUCACUGGGAGUGGCCACCGAGACCAUGUAACACUGGCCCUGAAAGACCUACAUUGGCUCCCAGUACGUUUCUGAGCACAAUUCAAAGUGUUGGUGCUGACCUUUAAAACUCUAAACGGCCUCGGUCCAGUAUACCUGAAGGAGCGUCUCCACCCCCAACAUUCUGCCCAGACAGGUCCAGCACCGAGGGCCUUCUGGUGGUUCCCUCACUGCAGGAAGUGAGGUUACAGGGAACCAGGCAAGAGGGCCUUCUUGGUAGUGGAACCCCCUCCCAUCGGAUGUCAAGGAAAUAAACAACUAUCUGACUUUUAGAAGACAUCUGAAGGCAGCCCUGUUUAGGGAAGUUUUUUAUGUUUGAUGUUUUAUCGUGUUUUUAAUAUUCUGUUGGGAGCUACCCAGAGUGGCUUGGGAAACCCAACCAGAUGGGCGAGGUAUAAAUAAUAACAUUGAUGAUGAUGAUGAUGAUGAUGAUGAUGAUGAUGAUUAGGUAAGUCAGUAUGCUUACUCCCCACCCAGUGUUGCAAACUGAGGAUGAGGGAGAGUGGAAGCCCACUUGGGGAGUUGAUGGCAGUGGUAAGAUUCAACCCAAACACUUUCACAUUAAACGCUGCAAUGGUGGAUGCAGCCCAUUGGCACUGGUAGGGCAGGAAGAGGAAGAAACCAGUGACAGGGAGAGCCAACUACCGUAUUUUUCGUUCUAUAAGACGCACCAGACCACAAGACGCACCUAGUUUUUGGUGAAGGAAAACAAGGAAAAAAAUAUUCUUAAUCUCAGAAGCCAGAACAGCAAGAGGGAUCACUGCACAGUAAAAGCAGCAAUCCCUCUUGCUGUUCUGGCUUCUGGGAUAGCUGCGCAGCCUGCAUUUGCUCCAUAAGACGCACACACAUUUCCCCUUACUUUUUAGCAGGGAAAAAGUGAGUCUUAUAGAGCAAAAAAUACGGUAAUUCUUGCUUCGUCCUCUACUGCGUUCCACAAGGGGCUACACUGAGGCUAAGGAAGUGGAAAUCCACAGGGAGGGACACCCAUUGGAAAGAUUGUAAGUAAGAAGGCAGGCAGUUUGGGGGGGGGCUGGCAGAGAACAGGCUGAGGUGAUGGGGCAGUGCCUUGUUUGCCCUCAUGGACCAGCCUCCACUGCAUAGCUCAGCCUCUCAACCACUGCACUCUCUUUGCUCUCAAGUGGAAUACAAAGCGAGCAAUUGCAGCCCAAAUAAUACAAAUGCAACGCUUAACCACGAUUUGCAAGCAUUGCCUAUGAGCGUUUGGGGAUAAAUGUCUAGAACAUACGGCAUUAUCUCGCACAAAGGCAGAAAUCACCCACAUCCGUAUUAAUUACGCAGUGACAAGGGACAUUGUCAGCCAGGCGAGAGAGCUUUGCAUCCUGCAGUUUCUUCUACGGAAGCAGGAAUCAUAAUGUUUUGCUCUCGGUCCCUCCUUCUCCUUUGUGGAGGAGGCUUUCCUACAUGAAGUUUCCUUUGCAGGCCAAAAGCAAACAAAACAUCUAUUCUUUUGGUAAUUAGCAGUUCCGAAAUAGUCACUUUCUCCCAGUGUGAGAAUGCUUUGCUUAGGAACUGGCCAUUUGGGGAUUAAUCAAUAACAUUACAUCCCAAGUAACACAGUGGCUUUAAACCAGGCUGAAGAACGAGACGUUGGGGUUGUGAGUCACACUACCGACUGCAAGGAGAUGACAUUGUCUGUGGUGAAAAUUUCCCACUGUUUUAAUGCAGGGUUCCAACAGAGAUUUUCAGAUCAGCCCAGAAGGCAACAAAUGCCAGAAGAAUCCUCACUUUUUCUUAAGGGUAUAAAUUGCACAGUACAGAACUGAAUGCACCUCGCACUGUAAUUGCUGUGUUCACACUUCUGUGGAUUCACUGCAAUCAUUGCAUUUCCAGUGCUGGAAAAUGUUCACACAACCAUCUUAUUUAAAAUGCAUUUGUGUGGUAUGAAGUUUACGGCAUGUAAUAUCUUAAAAGAGAAUUUAAUGAAAAUGAUUUACAGGUGGUACAUAAUACCAGUCAAGCUUGCAAAAAUUUAUCAUUUGCCCGAUAAUAAAUGUUGGAAAUGUAAUGAAACUGAAGGUACAUUCUUUCACCUUUGGUGGACGUGCCCAAAGAUUAAGGCAUUCUGGGAGAUUAUCUAUAAUGAAAUGAAAAAGGUAUUUAAAUAUACCUUUCUAAAGAAACCAGAGGCCUUUCUCCUGGGCAUGGUAGGCCAAUUGUUGCCAAAGAAGGAUAGAGUUUUUUUCAUGUAUGCCACAACAGCAGCAAGAAUACUUAUCGCAAAGCAUUGGAAGACACAAGAUCUACCUACCAGGGAAGAAUGGCAGAUGAAGCUGAUGGACUACAUGGAACUGGUGGAAAUGACUGGCAGAAUCCGAGACCAGGGAGAAGAGUCGGUGGAAGAAGAUUGGAAAAAAAUUAAAGUAUAUUUACAGAAAUAUUGUAAAAUUAAUGAAUGUUAGAAGGAUGCUGGAAAGAAGUUAUAUGACUUUAGCAGAAAUGUUAUAAAGAAUUAAGUAUGGAUAGACUGACUAUGGGUAAAGGUGCAAAACUUAAGGUUAAAUUGUGUUAAGAUAAAUUAUGGAAAUAAAUUUGAGAAAGAGGGAAAAGGACUUGCUGGAAUAAUUAAUUGAACUAGAAUACAAAAAAGGAGGUGUGAGGAAGUCGAGGAAAUAAGCAAAUGAAAGAUAAGGACAUGAAAAUACGGGGUCUUUUUUGUUUUCUUUUUCUUUUUUUUUCUUCUAUUUUUUCAAAGGUUUGUGUUUUUUAAAUGUUUCUUUUUUCUUUCUUUCUUUUUUAAUGUUUUGAUGUACUGUUGUUGUUUUGUUUUAUUGUAUUUUCUUUUGCUUUCGAGGUUUUGUAAUUGUUUAUAGCUUGUAUUUCUUUUUCUUUGUAACUCUUAAACUUUAAUAAAUAUCUUUUUUUAAAAAAAAAUGCAUUUGUGUCUUAUACCUUGUUAGGAGAUACCAUAUUUUUCGCCCUAUAGGACGCACUUUUUCCCUUCCAAAAAUGAAGGGGAAAUGUGUGUGCGUCCUAUGGGGCGAAUGCAGGCUUUCGCUGAAGCCUGGAGAGCGAGAGGUGUCGGUGCGCACCGACGCCUCUCGCUCUCCAGGCUUCACGAAGCUACCCGCAAGCCUUGCGCACCCGGGAGUUCCCCCCGGGAGCGCAAGGCUUGCGGGCGGCAGCCUGCAGCACGGAGCACGGGGCGCCCUCCGGAGAACGCCCCGUGCUUCGCGCAGGUGUCCGCAGCCUGCCGCCGGGCGCGUGGGGCGCCCUGAAGCAGAGCGCCCCUUGCGCCGGGCAGACAUCGGCCAGCCCCACAAACUCGGGGGACAGCGGGGAGGCGCAGCGCCGCCAUCCCACUGUUCCCAGACCUAGUUUUUUGGGAGGGAAAUAAAGGGGAAAAUUUUUUCCUUUAUUUCCCCCCCCAAAAAGUAGGUGCGUCCUAUGGGACGAAAAAUACGGUACUACCGUCUGAUGUGCUGUUCCUCAAACCAGCUUCGUACAGACCCUCCAAGUGUCCCUAUUUUCCAGGGACGUCCCUGAUUUAGAAAAGCCGUCCCAGUUUCUGAUUUGAUCCCAGAAUGUCCCGCUUUUCCUUAAGAUGUCCCUAUUGGAGCUAUCCAACCCCCGAGCUGUCUGAAGGCAAUCCUGUAUAGGGAAGGUUUUUUUAAUGUUUAAUGUUUUAUUAUGUUUUUAUGUAUGUUGGAUGCUGCCCACGGUGGCUGGGGCAACCCAGCAAGAUGUGUGGGGUAUAAAUAGUAGAAUUAUCAUUGUGAAAUGGGACGUCCCUAUUUUCAUCGGAGAAAUGUUGGAGGGAAUGGCUUCAUACCCAAUGGGGUCCUUACGCCAUUCCUAAUUCCUCUCUAGCCGAGGUGCGAACACUUUUGCAUGUUCAGUGCCCCCAGUGUGAACACAAACAGGAAACAACUGAAGCUGGGACCCUCAGGUAGCUCAUGUAAGCCCAUGAAAUGUCCUUGCUGGAUGAGUUUUAAACUGCUUUUAUUACUGUAUUUCUUGGGAGAAAAGCAAUGACAAACCUAGACAGCAUCUUAAAAAGUAGAGACAUCACCUUGCCAACAAAGGUCCGUAUAGUUAAAGCUCUGGUUUUCCCAGUAGUGGUGUAUGGAAGUGAGAGCUGGACCAUAAAGAAGGCUGAUCGCCGAAGAAUUGAUGCUUUUGAAUUCUGGUGCUGGAGGAGACUCUUGAGAGUCCCAUGGACUGCAAGAAGAUCAAACCUCUCCAUUCUUAAGGAAAUUAGCCCUGAGUGCUCACUGGAAGGACAGAUCCUGAAGCUGAGGCUCCAGUACUUUGGCCACCUCAUGAGAAGAGAAGACUCCUUGGGAAAGACCCUGGUGUUGGGAAAGAUGGAGGGCACAAGGAGAAGGGGACAACAGAGGACAAGAUGGUUGGAUAGUGUUCUCGAAGCUACCAGAUUGAGUUUGACCAAACUGCGGGAGGCAGUGAAAGAGAGGAGGGCCUGGCGUGCUCUGGUCCAGGGGGUCACGAAGAGGCGGACACGACUAAACGACUAAACAACAACAUUACUGUAGAAGAAGAAGAAGAAAUAGAAGAAGAAGAAGAAGAAGAAUUUGGAGGCAGAAAAGCCCACAAGCACCACUCCCUGGGAGUAAAAAAAAAACCCUGUAGCAAUAAAUUAAGUUAUUUCAUGACACAUAAUAUCAGCUGCUGCCAAAUGACAGGGCCAUCUCUAACAACUCACCUCUGCCUCUCUCCCUCCACCCCACUAAGUAGAACUCAGUGGCAUUCAAACCUCUAUUUCAUAUUUUUUGCAGGUCUAAUGUGCAUGACAAACUUCCUUGGAACACUGCCUUUGACUUAUUAGAAGGGAAGCCGCAUGCUGAAGAGUACAAUUCCUUGGCAAGGUGGUUGCAGACGUGCCUGCCUUUGGCUCUUUGGAAGGGCUGCUGUUUCUUCCCCAGGCAAAUGACAGAAGCUUAGGGUGAACCAAACCCAUCAGAUUUCACUGAGCAGAGGCAUUCAAGAGAAUCCACACCAUAGCCAAGCUAAAUUGUUUUGCACAGCGAUUCAUGAAUAAAACAAGCACAAUCCACUUUGCCCCCCUUUCUUUUUGAUCCUGCUUUCACUCCCUGAAAUAUAUUUACCGGAUUUACUUUCAUUUCCUUUCCUUUGUUUCCCAGGAACCAGCGUGGAGAAGAUUACUGGGGCCAAAAGAGUGUCACGGCAGGGGGUGGGGUGGGGUGGGAGGAAGUCAGCCCCAGCAGGGUAAAAAGUCUGGUGUUUCAUCAGCCUGUUAGGGUGGCAGGUGCAGAACUAACAAACAAGAAAACUAAGGUGCUUGAGCAAAAGCCCACAAAAGAGAAAAUCCAACAAAAUGUUUAAAAAUAUGAUUUGCCCCCAAAAAAGUCAUUCAUAAUUUUGCAUGAAGGGAGAGAGACACCCACCUGAAGAACUGCUUCCAGUCAGUGUAGACUGUACUGAGGUAGCUGGACCAAUGGACUGACUUAGUAUUGCAUCUUGCUAUGUUCCUAGUCCCCCUUCAUGGAUCACUGCCUUGCCGUGGCGAAGGGGCUUGAAUAACUCAGAGAAGCUAUGAUCUAUACUGUGCAGGGCACCCAAGAUGAACAGGUCAUAGUGGAGAGUUUUGACCAAACGUGAUCCACCUGGAGCAGGAACCAGCAAGCCACUCCAGUAUCCCUGCCAAGAAAACUCCAUGGACAAAGACAACAGGCGUAUAAAAGUUAUGACACUGGAAGAUGAGCCCCUCAGGUUGGAAGGCAUCCAACAUGCUACUGAGGAAGAGCGGAGGACAAGUACAAGUAGAUUCAACAGCCAUGUGCCUAUGGUGAUCCCAACCAACUUGGAUACCAGUUUCUUCACAUGUACAGUGGUACCUCUGGUUAUGAACUUCAUUCAUUCCAGAGGUCCGUUCUUAACCUGAAACCAUUCUUAACCUGAGGUACCACUUUAGCUAAUGGGGCCUCCUGCUGCCGCUGCACCGCCACCGCACGAUUUCUGUUCUCAUCCUGGGGCAAAGUUCUUAACCCGAGGUACUACUUCCAGGUUAGAGGAAUCUGUAACCUAAAGUGUUAGUAACUCAAGGUGUUUGUAACCCAAGGUACCACUGUAGAGGUGUUUGUGUACAGUUGUUGAUUUGUACAACUGAACUGUAAACUGUACCCAGACUGUGAACUCCUUCAACAUCCCAUGCAAAUAUAGUUGUACGUGUGAUGCUCAACUGCAGAUACACACAAUGUUCUGUCAUGGAACGCAACGUGUUAACCCCCCUUUUGUUGACAGUGGCCUAAGGAGGCAAAAAGGGGGCGGGGGGCAAGCCUGAGCAGCAAUGAAUGAGAAGCAUAGUUUCUGACCCACUUGAAAGCUUUCUCCUUUCUUAACAUCAUAACAGUUGGUCCUAAUAAAAGGUAUGUGACACAAAGAGAGCCAGAGUUUCAGUUUGGGAAUGUGUUUGUGUCAGUGCUUCCUCCUGAAGGCUACAGAAUUGGUAUGCUUGCCGUGAAGCAUUUUCUAUCUUCCUCUCCGGCAAAAACUGGGACCUUUCAAGUGUUCAUGAUAAAUACAGAGAAUUAUUUAUAAAUCAUUUGAAAAUAAACGCUGGGGAAAUAAUUGCACUCGCCGCUUCGCAGUCUUUUCAAAUAUUAUGAACAUGCCCAAGAGACUUUCGCUUUUGUGCCAUUGUGAUUCAAAAUAACUUCAGUUCAGAGAGUGCUGACAGAUACAAUGCAGAGAGGGCUUCCCGUAUGAAAAUUAAUAGCCCAACGUUGCGUUGUUUUCGGCGCCUGAUUACAUUGCAUAAUUGCUUCAAGCAGUGAAGGCUGACGUGACCAAACUGUUGAAAUACCCUGGACAACAGAGUCCUUCGGAUCUUUACAAUGUUUCUUUUAAAACAAAUCCUUAAAAUCAGCUUGUACAUUGAAAUCAGAUUUGGCACAUUUUUUAAAGGGUUCAGUGGGUGCAGGAAUCUGAACAAAAUAUUGCACCGUUUCAGAUGCUUCAGAAGACUUGCAAGCAAGACUAGUGUCAUCAAGAGGCACCCUUCAUCAACACCUUCUAGGCCCCACCACAGACAGCUGCCCUUUUAAGAAAGUUUCCCCCACAAUGCCUCCAAUAUAGUGUAGAGGUUGUAAAAACAACCCCUCUGCAGUGCCACAAAUCCGUUCAUGGUGAGUUCUGGCACUUCUUUUUCUAGAAAAAUACAGUGGUACCUCGGGUUAAGUACUUAAUUCGUUCCGGAGGUCCGUACUUAACCUGAAACUGUUCUUAACCUGAAGCACCACCUUACCUAAUGGGGCCUCCCGCUGCCACUGCGCCGCCAGAGCACAAUUUCUGUUCUCAUCCUGAAGCAAAGUUCUUAACCUGAAGCACUAUUUCUGGGUUAGCGGUGUCUGUAACCUGAAGCGUAUGUAACCUGAAGCGUAUGUAACCCGAGGUACCACUGUAGCACUGAGUACAGUACAGUAUAUAUACUAACAUAUUUAUUUUGCAGGAAAUGGAUAGAUAUCUUUUCCAAAUGAGAGCAAGGGCAUCACAUGGUAGCAUCUGGCAGGGCUGAGCCUAACGACGCCUAAUUUUGGGGUAGCAUUUUCAGCUAUGCCCCCCAAAAGAUCUUCAACUCCUUACUUCCUUCCCUGAACAAUUUACAAAAAUGUUUGCCCGUUGGUUGAUAUUUUCUGACACUGCCGACUCUAGCUUUUUCUCAGCCAGGUGCUUCAAUUGCUCUGUUAGUGCCAUGCAGUCAGACUGAUUGGUUAUAUAGGUUUACCACAACAUUACAGGAUUCUUUGUUGGCUGGGAUCACCCGUGUAGCUAACUGAGAAAGGAGAAGGAACAACUACUGGGGGGGGGGAUGGGAUGAAACACCAGCAGUUGGAAGGACCAAUGCUACCAAACUGGAUUAUUAUUUUUUAAAGAGUAUUCUCACAAAACGUUGCAGUAAAUAUUUUUACACCACUAGCUCAAAUGGCUUUCUUCGAGCUCAAAACUUAAGUUGGUGGAUGCGCUCCACAGCCGUAACACUAAUACAAAUUGUGAUUUUCAUCCAGUGGUGGUGUUGCGUGGUAACCUGAGGACCUUGUUCUGGGUGGACUCAAAGAUCACGAACGCAGCAGUUGGAGAAAUAGAAAGUAAGUUUUAUUGCUGACAGCAAUAGACCCAGCGGAGUUGUCUCCCAAAAACUGGGCCCCUAGCAACAGUCUGCUGGGCUUAUAUACCUUUUUCCAACCAGCUAUAGGUAUUGCAUAUUCAUAUAUUGUAGCAAAAUUAAACCAAUAAGCUUGGACAUCGCCCUUCCUAAAUCCUCCUAUGUCAGGGGUCUGCAACCCGCGGCUCCGGAGCCGCAUGUGGCUCUUUUACACCUUUGCCGUGGCUCCAGGGCGAAUACUAGCGAGGGGAGGAGGCGCAUUGUGCGCCCCGACACUCCCCACUGUGGCGGGCGCUGUACUGGCUGUGACGUCGCAUGGGGGCGGUGCGUGCAUUAGUCACGCACCGUCCUGACGUCACCUUCCUGCCCGCCCGCCCGCUACAUUGUAAGGGGCAUGUACGCUGGUCACUGCAUUGAAAGGGGGCAUGUACGCUGGUCACUGUUUUGAAGGGGAGUGAAGAACACACACACACACAAAGGUAUUUUUCGCUCUAUAAGACACACCAGACCAUAAGAUGCACCUAGUUUUUGGAGGAGGAAAACAAGAAAAAAAAUAUUCUGAAUCUCAGAAGCCAGAACAACAAGAGGGAUCGCUGCGCAGCGAAAGCAGUGAUCCCUCUUGCUGUUCUGGCUUCUGGGAUAGCUGUGCAGCCUGCAUUCGCUCCAUAAGAUGCACACACAUUUCCCCUUACUUUUAAUUUAACUUGUUAAUUUAACGUUUAUUUCUAUGAGGAGGAGUAAUUCUGAGGGGUCAAACAAAGAAAUAAUAAAAAAGGUGACAAAAAGGUUAUUUUUAUAAUGACGAGUUUUGCGGCUCCCAGUUUUUUUUUCUUCGGAAACGGGUCCAAGUGGCUCUUUUUGUCUUAAAGGUUGCAGACCCCUGUCCUAUGUCCAUAUAAAGAUUACUUCUGCUUUCCAUAUAAAUGCUCAUUAUAUUAGUAAUUACUCAUAUACUGUUAUCAGCAAGCAAAGCCAAAAAUCCGCUUUUGGCAGGCGAAGCCCCAAACCCCUCUUGUUAUCAGACAUCCUGUGUCCCAUGUGGAAAGCACCCAACUUGGACAUCCUCUUUCACUGAACAUCGGGUUAUGAUGACCGUCCCAUGACUAUGAUGGAUGCCUUCCUUACAAACUGCAAACACAGCCAAAUUCAUAUAUGUUUUCCGCUAACACAGCAAUAAGCAAUAAGGCACAGUGAAAGACACAGAAUUUGGAUCUUAGAAUCAGGCACAAUGGCACAAUGUAAAAUAAGGCAUAACAAGGCAAUAUACUUUCAGGUGGUAUUUCAGUUGGCCUUGACACAGUGGAAAUGAAUUUCUGUCAUUGGCAAAUUACUAAUAGUAUGGAAUUAUUGCCAGUUAUUACCAAGAUAUCCAGACCCUGACACCAGUCACUUAAAGCAGAUACUGUGUUGCUUUUUACUGCUUCUAUUUCAAACACCUGGCAUAAGGGUGAUUGCAUCUCACAUUAGAAAUCUGGAUACCUUGGUAAUAAUAAGCUAGUGCUUAAAUAAUUAUUAGCUGGCAGAAAGAUCAAAGCGUAUUAAUUAGAAACUCACACAUGGGAGGAAUCUCUUAUGUGGAAUUAAAGGAAUCAAUCUAAGCAGCACGCAACGCUUAAACAUCCACAUCUAUUCGGAUAUGGAUAGGGUGGGGAAACAAGCCCCUUCUCUUCAAUUUAUUGACAUUUGGAGUCGCCGAUCUCAGCCAAGGGCAAAAGGAAAUGCAAUUGAUGUUCCAAAACCAAUAGAAAAAUAACAAGACUUCCAAAACCAAAAGGCGGACAGUUCUAAGCCUUUUAAAGCAAUGAGUGGCAACAGCGCUUACAAACCAGAAUUCAGCCAAAGGGAAGACAAUGAAACUUCCUCCUCCCCAAGUGUGAAAAUCAACAGUGGCUUUGGAGUAAUAAGCCUUUGCUUCAUACCCCCUCAGUAAUCAACCCUGAUGAUAUUUUAACGCUCUUCCUUAUGAGCAAUGAAGGCAACAAAACAGAACAGAGUAGCUGAUUCACAUGUCUGGAACGACCCAUCUUGAUUACUGCAACUUGCUUUACAUGGGGCAUCCCUGGAAGACGAUUCAGAAGCUGCUGUACACCUUAAGAGAGGCACUGGAAGGUGCAACUAUUCUGUAGGUGCAACUGCAAAGUUUGUGUGGGAUGUGAAACACAAGAGCAGUCAAGUACAACAUUCCUAGAGUGAACAUGUUUACACCUGGGGAGGAAUGUUUGUCCAGCCAGCAGGUAAACUUCCUGUUUCCUUCUGGGCUGGGACAGACUUCCUCUGCAUGUGACUGGAGGUGGGUGUGGCCUCACCUGUGCAGGUAACGACAAAAGCACAGGGCAGGGCAGCCAUCUCUCUCUCUCUUUCACCACAUGCAUCGAAGAAACAACAUCUACUGAUCCAAAGAUGCCCUCUUGGCUUCCAGCCAAGAGAGGACAAAGGGACUGUCUUCUUAUGAGAUAGAUUCCAAGUGUAUGUUACUUCAUUAAGCUAAGUCUGCCUUCUGGGAUCUGAUUGUGAACAGAAUGUGAGUAAACUCUUUUUAUACUUUUGUAAAAGACUGUGUCGUCUCUUAUAUUUUAUGAGGGAAUAAGGGGGAAAUACCAGAACAUUUACUAUAGAGGCUUUAGCGAGCCUGAGCAAACGCAUCCGUUGCAAAGUUUAAAAUAAAGGGGAAUGUUACUCUGCUGAAAUUGUGCAACUUGUUAACACAAGUUGGAUAAGGAUAUAAUCAGACAAUAUAUCCUCUCCUGCAUCCCUGAACAUUCCCACAGUUUGGAAAUCCUCAAAGAAUCUCCCCACUCCCUUCUUAAGCUCCAGAGAGUAGGUUUCGUUGGUUGUGCCACCUUGGCACCAAUUACAAAUAAUGACAGCUCAGAGCAGGGCUUUUCUGGCGGCUGCUCUGAAGCUCAGGAACCAGGAGAGGUUGGGACAGCUGCAUCUUGCUGUCUUUCCUUAAGAGCUGGCAUGUGGUUGAAGUCUUUGGUGGUUGCAUCGUUUUGUCAUUGGACUGUCUUGUGGUUUGUUGGUUUGUUUUAUCUGUAUUAUUAAGAGUUGCCUUGUCUUAAACCACUUUGAACAACUGGGAAAGCAAUAUAUGUUAAGUUAUUAAACAAAUGUUGAUCUUGGGCCUAGUCCUUCAGCCUUCGGAAGCAUUUUACUUGCCAUAGAUAUUGCUAUUCUGAUAUUGUGUCAAGUGCAUUCUGAUUCUUUUCCCCCCUCAAUCUGUUUUCUUCUAAAAGUUCUAUGCUGUUCUGUCCCCAGGAUAGAAUUGCACCCACUUGAUAUUGUAGCACAAUCUUGGAAUGUUCAUCUUUUAAAACAUAAUUUGUAAAAUAGUGUUGACUUAAAAAUAAAAUAAAAUACACCACUCGCAAAGAAAUGUACAGGCUUUGUACAAAGGGUGUGUGUGUGUGUGUGUGUGUGUGUGUGUGUGUAAAAGAGAGGUAGGGAGGGUGUUUGUAGAUUUAAAAAGUAACAUUAAAAUAGAAAUAAAGAAUAUGAAGCCCCAAAGAGAGAUCAAAGGGGAAACAUAUUAAAGUUAAUCUUCCCAAAGUCAGCUCAGUUAUAUAAAAUUUAAGUGAAAUGCAAUUUAAUGACUCAGAGUUUCUCCAUUUUUCAGCAACAUUAAAAUCCCCACUCCAGAAAUGAAAUAAUCACUUUAAGAGAGUCGGCCUGAGAAGAUUCAUUUGCUGAUCGAGAUCAAAGGCAUCCAAGCGCACGAUGACAAACUUAAUUUCAAAAUGAGCUGUUAGAUCGCAAGCUGUUAUGGUGCAUUUUAUCCAAAUGAAGAUAUCUAUGGGUUAACCAGCAACAUGUCCAUUAUUAUGAUGGGCCAAGGAAGAGAGGGCCUGUAGAUUGCAAGGAGAGGCAGUUUGUGUCUGAGCAACUACACACAAAGACACAUCGCAUUGAGACAUUGGUCUCAGGGCCAAACUAGGCAUGACUUUAAAGACAUGGUGGGCAACCGCAUCAGGAAAUCUUAACAUUUUAAUACCAGGCAUGGGGAGCAGUUUUCAUUGGGAUCACAUGGGGAGGAGAGAUUUAACCCUUCCCUCCCCAGCUAUCAUCCUGAGACCCACCUCUCCCCUGCCCAACCUGUGCUGCAGUUAACCUUAGGAGCAUUUCGCAAGCAUUUCCAACCACAACAGACUAAAAAUGACAGCAUUGUGACAGCCAGGGCCAGCCCACCUAUAAGGCAAGGUGAGGCAACUACCUCAGAUGGCAAGAUCCACAGGGGCAGCAAAUUCCAAUGUGAAUCUUUAUUCACCACCCCCUUGUUGCUGCUCAGGACUACUCAGAACUACAAUACCUCAAGGACCUCCAUAUUAACCUAACCAGAUCCAGAGAUCAUCCUCUGAGGUCCUUAUAUAAUAUAAUAAUAAUAAUAAUAAUAAUAAUAAAGGUAAAGGGACCCCUGACCAUUAGGUCCAGUCGUGACCGACUCUGGGGUUGCGGCGCUCAUCUCGCUUUAUUGGCCAAGGGAGCCGGUGUACAGCCUUCGGGUCAUGUGUCCAGUAUGACUAAGCUGCUUCUGGCGAACCAGAGCAGCGCACGGAAACACCGUUUACCUUCCCACCGGAGUGGUACCUAUUUAUCUACUUGCACUUUGACGUGCUUUCGAACUGCUAGGUUGGCAGGAGCAGGGACCGAGCAACGGGAGCUCACCCCAUUGCGGGGAUUCGGGGUGUUGCUGCUCAGGACUGCUCAGAACUACAAUACCUCAAGGACCUCCAUAUUAACCUACCCAGAUCCAGAGAUUAUCCUCUGAGGUCCAAUAAUGAUGAUAAUAAUAAUAAUAAUAAUAAUAAUAAUAAUAAUAAUAAUAAUAAUUUAUUUAUACCCUGCCCAUCUGGCUGAGUCUCCCCAGCCACUCUGGACUGCUCCCAAUCAAAUGUUAAAAACAGUACAGCAUUAAAUAUUAAAAACUUCCCUGAAGUCUUUUAAAGAUAGGAUAGCUGCUUAUUUCCUACACAUCUGAAGGGAGGGUGGUACACAGGGCGGGGGCCACUACCGAGAAGGCCCUCUGUCUGGUUCCCUGUAACCUCACUUCUCACAAUGGGGGAAUCACCAGAAGGCCCUCGGCGCUGGAUCUCAGUGUCCGGGCUGAACGAUGGGGGUGGAGACGCUCCUUCAGGUAUACUGGGCCAAGGCCUUUUAGGGCUUUAAAGGUCAGCACCAACACUUUGAAUUGUGCUUGGAAACAUACUGGGAGCCAAUGCAGAUCCCUCAGGACUGGUGUUAUGUGGUCUCGGCGGCCAGUCCCAGUCACAAUUCUAGCUGCCACAUUCUGGAUUAAUUGCAGUUUCCGGGUCACCUUCAAAGGUAGCCCCACGUAGAGCGCAUUGCAGUAGUCCAAGCGGGAGAUAACUAGAGCAUGCACCACUCUGGCAAGACAGUCCGCGGGCAGGUAGGGUCUUAGCCUGCGUACCAGGUGGAGCUGGUAGACAGCCGCCCUGGACACAAAAUUAACCUGCGCCUCCAUGGACAGCUGUGAGUCCAAAAUGACUCCCAGGCUGAGCACCUGGUCCUUCAGGGGCACAGUUACCCCAUUCAGGACCAGGGAAUCCCCCACAUCCGCCUGCCGGUUUGAAUCCCCGCGACGGGGUGAGCUCCCAUUGCUCGGUCCCUGCUCCUGCCAACCUAGCAGUUCGAAAGCACGUCCAAGUGCAAGUAGAUAAAUAGGUACCGCUCCGGUGGGGAGAUAAACGGCGUUUCCGUGCUCUGCUCUGGUUUGCCAGAAGCGGCUUAGUAAUGUUGGCCACAUGACUCAGAAGCUGUACGCUGGCUCCCUCAGCCAAUAAAGCGAGAUGAGCUCCGCAACACCAUAGUCGGCCACUCUGGUCAGGGGUCCCUUUACCUUUACCUUUAUUCCACAGAGCUAUGGUUCUCAAAUGUGGUUAACAGUCAAUCCCUUUUCCCAGAGAACUCUGGGAAGUGUAGUUCUGGGUGGGGAAUAGCCCCCCACCAGCACCUCUCAACACAACAACCACAACAAACUCCAGCUCCCAUAAUUCUUGGGGGGGAGGGAGUCAUAACUGUUUCGAGAAGUAUUGUACUGUUUUAAAGGUAGGGUGUGAAUGUAGCCUGAGUAGAAAAGAAUAAUUGAAGACAGAGAACUUUUCAUACACACACAAACCAAAUAGGUAGAAGGAAUAAUUACGAUUUUUUUUGAAAAAAAAUGAAGUUGCCAUUCAUUGAAGACACACGUAUUUCACAGCUUCACAGCUAAUAAGAAUGUGAGUUAUUCCAUGUUUUGAGGGUUAAACUAAAUUACCAGAAACACCUGCAUUAUAUGGCUAUGGAGCGUGACUUCAUUUAAUUUCAUAAUACAAAGUUAGAAAGAGAAAGAUACAAUUACUGGAAAACUGAAUACACAUAUAAAAAUGGGGAAAGGACAAAACCAGCAAUUAGUGCUUUCCUACGCUAAUUAUGUUGAAAGAUACCAUAAUUUACAUAAAAAAGGAAACAAACCGAGAAUAAUGCACAACUGCUCUCUGUUAAAAUUAUAUAUAAAUAUAUAUUUAUGUGCUCCGAUGCGCCAGCAACGUCUUGGCACUGCGGCACACCUUCAGCUAGGAGGGUGGCGCCUGGGCUUUUGCUAGCAGAGAAGAGGGAGGAAAUAUUCUUGUUGCUUCUGUUCCUAAGCGGAGGAGCGUUUGCUGAAUUACGCAGUGCCUCAGAGACGAUUUGCACAUUACCUUGCUAGUGAAGGAACACACAUGUAUGUCUGAGGGCCCUUCCUAUUCUUCAACAUACAAUUGGAAGGCCCUCGGCGCUGGACCUCAGUGUCCGGGCUGAACGAUGGGGAUGGAGACGCUCCUUCAGGUAUACAGAGCCAAGGCUAUUUCGGGCUUUAAACAUCAGCACCAACACUUUGAAUUGUGCUCAGAAAUAUCCUGAGAGUCAGAAUUUAAAAAAAAAAUGUUUGGAGGUUUUCAGGGUCAUCUCACACCCUCAGGAGCGAUAUCUAUCUAUCUGUCUAUCUAUCUAUCUGUCUAUCUAUCUAUCUAUAUCUAUCUAUCUAUCUAUCACCAGAAGUGUUCCACCUAAUGCAAGUAUUCAGCACAGUCCUGGAUAUAACAGUUAUGGCACCAGUGAAAUAGCAAACGAAAAGUAACAAAUGUGCAUUUAAACAGAUUAGGAGUUUUCUUUUGGAAGCUCAUCUAUCAACAUUUAUUCCACAUAAGAAUCUGUGCGACUUAAAACUCGGGACCGCACAAACACACACGCCGUAUUUCAGGCAAGUGCCAUUGUAAUGAUUAAUUGCAGUGCAUCACCAUGCAGAGCUCGGCAGCUCGCAAAGACCUGUUGUGGCCCAUUUCACAACUGCACUUCUCAACUGCUUCACACACACACACACACACACACACACACACACAGAAAAUAACAGCCAAAGAACUACUGAGCCUAUUGCAAUUUUUCGCCUUUUGGGUUCACUUUGGACUAUGAAGCUUUAGAAGUCCAAAUGACCUCCAGCACUGGUUUUAGAGCUUUGCAGGUGUGUGUUGUUUAUGCCCAGAUGCUGCAAAGGAGACUGCCCUUAGCAAGGGCAAUUUCUCUGCCCAAGCUAUUCUAGCUAGAAAUGUCAAAGCAAUUGCCUUUUCACCCAAAGGCAAACAUUACGUAGGCGGCUUUGUGAUCAAAAUCCACCACCAACCCCGAUUGUUCCCCCCCACUCCCUGCCUGCUUUGGGUUAAAACAGGAGUCCCCAAACUACGGCCUGUGAGCCGGAUAAGGCCCAAGGGACUCGUUUAUCCGGCCCACAGCAAACCCUGCCGCCCACUCUUACCGGUGCUGCGCUGCACGGCUGCCCACUUCUGGGUCGGAGGAGCACCAGAAAUAGCUUGUGCGCAUGUGCAAGCAUUAUUUGCGCAAGCGCAAGCAUUGUUUGCGGUGCACAUCCAGGUCAGAGGAGGCCCGUGCACAUGCGCACAAGCUAUUUCUGGUGCUCCUCCAACCCGGAAGUGCGCCAGAAAUAGCGUGUGUGCACGCUAUGGCCACACGCUCCCCGCCCUCCGGCCCACCACGCAAUCGGAGCUGGAGACAGUUUGCUGACCCCUAGGUUAAAAGCAGAGACAUCACCUCUGAGAGCUGGACCAUCAAGAAGGCUGAUCGCCAAAGAAUUGAUGCUUUCAAAUUAUGGUGUUGGAGGAGACUCUUGAGAGUCCCACGGACUGCAAGAAGAUCAAACCUAUCCAUUCUUAAGGAAAUCAGCCCUGAGUGCUCACUGGAAGGACAGAUCCUGAAGCUGAGGCUCCAAUACUUUGCCCAACUCAUGAGAAGAGAAGACUCCCUGGAAAAGACCCUGGUGUUGGGAAAGAUGGAGGGCACAAGGAGAAGGGGACGACAGAGGACGAGAUAGUUGGACAGUGUUCUCGAAGCUACCAGGAUGCGUUUGACCAAACUGCGGGAGGCAGUGGAAGACAGGAGGGCCUGGUGUGCUCUGGUCCAGGGGGUCAUGAAGAGGCAGACACGACUAAACAACAACAACAAAAAUGAUGGCAUUAGUGAAAUGCAACACACACAAAUGACAUAUAAAAGGAAAUUGAUUUGCAAGAAUAAGUAUGCAAGGCAAAAUUGCAUAUAAAAAUGUGUACAUUAGGCUAAAUCCACACUAACAGGCUGAUGAAUUUUUAUGAGGGUUUAUUUUCAAAGAAUCGCCAACUGAUAUGGAAAUGUGGUGAACUGAACUUAAAGACUGGGGAAAGCUGAAACUGAAGAGAAACCAAAACCGACAGAUUGCCUAUCUAAAUUACAGAGGCCGUUAAUCAGAGAAAAAUGGUGUUGGGAUCUCUCAUGUAUAAUAAUAAUAAUAAUAAUAAUAAUAAUAAUAAUAAUAAUUUAUUACUUACCUUCCUUGGCCCAAAAGGCUGAUGAGGCUGUAGAAGGUUCAGUUUCUUUCUGAAGAAUAAGGCGGAAUAUUACCUGCAUGCAUUCUUGGCAAAGUUCUUACAUUAGCUCCAGCUGGUACCUGUUGAAGCAAAUUAAAGUCCAUUUCAAUAAAGGCUCGGGUGAGUGACAGCAGAUUAUCAAUGGAAGACCAGCUGUGAUGACCUCAUUUGUAAUCAGAAUACUUUGGUGCAACCUGUGAUCGUUCCACAGAGCAUCACCUAACCUGCAAAGGGCUUCUGGGAUUACCAUCUUAACCAACUGCAGCUGGAUUUCAUAUCAUGCUCUCUAAAAAUGGCAACUUUUUACUUAGUUUUUGUUUCACAUCAAGACAAAGCAGGGGAGGAGGAAGCCCAUGGCUUUGCAAUGUUCACUUGGCCCCUAGUAAAGGUUUUACAAGACUGCCUCUGAACAGGCUUUAAAUCCAAUAUUUCCAUGGUAAGGUUCUAUUCUAAAAUGGUUGGAACAGCCAUGGGAAGGAGCUGCAGAAAGGGAUAUACAAACCAAUGCAUGGAAGGAAUGGCUCAUAGUUUGUUCUCUAGAAAAGCUUUUGGGUGGAGCCAGGGAGGGGUCAUUUGGGAACCUGUGGGUACAUUUGCAAACUGGGGCAAUGUGCAGUGAGCAACACACAACACUCCCACAUUCUGGGUGGCUUCCAACAUAAUAGUAAAGGUAAAGGGACCCCUGACCAUUAGGUCCAGUCGUGGCCAACUCUGGGGUUGUGGCGCUCAUCUCGCUUUAUUGGCCAAGGAAGCUGGCGUACAGCUUCCAGGUCAUGUGGCCAGCAUGACUAAGCCGCUUCUGGCGAACCAGAGCAGUGCAUGGAAACGCCAUUUACAUUCCUGCAAGAGCGGUACCUAUUUAUCUACUUGCACAUGAUGUGCUUUCGAAUUGCUAGGUUGGCAGGAUCCAAUAUAAUAGACAUUAUUUUAAAAACUUCCCUAUACAGGGCUGCCUUCAUAUGUCUUCUAAAGAUUGUACAGUGGUACCUCGGGUUAAGAACUUAAUUCGUUCUGACUAUAUGGAACUGGCGGAAAUGACUGGUAGAAUCCGAGACCAGGGAGAAGAGUCGGUGGAAGAAGAUUGGAAGAAAUUUAAAGACUAUCUACAGAAAUAUUGUAAAAUUAAUGAACGUUAGAAUGAUGUUGGAUAGAAAUUAAGUGGUUUUCAGCUGUAAUACUAUAAGGGAAUAUGAGAAAUGGAUAAUUAAUAGGUAAAAAUUUAAUGUUACAAUAUUUUAAGAUUAAAGACUAGGAUAAACAAAGAGGGUAAGGAUUUGCUGAACCAACAAACCGAACUGGAAUACAAAAAAGGGAGGUGUGAGGAGGUCCGGGAAACAAGCUAAUGAAAAAUAAGUAAUGGAAAGAUUGAGUUGUUUUUAACCAUUUUUUUUUUAAAUUUGUAUUUUCUUCUUUUUUAUUUUUAUUCUUAUUUUGUAAUAUUUUGAAAAUCUCAAUAAAUAUCUUAUAAAAAAAAAAAGAACUUAAUUCGUUCUGAAGGUCUGCUCUUAACCUGAAACUGUUCUUAACCUGAAGCACCACCUUAGCUAAUGGGGCUCCCGCUGCCACCGCACCUCUGGAGCACAAUUUCUGUUCUCAUCCUGAAGCAAAGUUCUUAACGCGAGGUACUAUUUAUAGGUUAGUGGAGUCUGUAACCUGAAGUGUCUGUAACCUGAGGUACCACUGUAUAGUUACUUAUCUCCUUGGCUCGGGGGUCACAUGACUCCAUACUCUCCAACAUAUCUCCAGUGAAAAUAGGGACAUCCUGAUGAAAAGCAGGACGUUUUGGGAACAAAUUGGAAACCAGGAUACCUUCUGUAAAUCCAGGACUAUCCUUGGAAAAUAGGGACAAUUGUAGGGUCUGUGUUUCCUUUUAGAAGGACACACACAGGCAUACCCACUAAGAUUUGCAGCAAGAGAGAGAGAAGGAUAAUCUAGGUCAAAGCAUAAUUCAGAAUGCUGUGUGCUAUCUCUGAGCAAAUCAGCCAUCAGCCUAUAGCUGGAUGAAAAUACAAUAAAGCACUCCAGACAUGAAAUGACCCUUUGAUCUGGUUGCAUUACAGAUGCAGGAAGAACAAUAUUUUCCACAGAUAGGUUCCUUAUGCAGAACAUAAUUGAUUCUCCUCUUCCCAAGUGCAUUUCCAUUGGACAGCAGCUCAGAUGCUUCCAUUCUGUAUUUUGCCUUAAUUACCAAAAUACUUUAUUACAAAAACACUCAUUUCCUUUCAGGACAUUCAUUGGAUACUUUCCCCAAGACAGGAAGUUUAAUGGAAUUUGCAACGAACUAGAUUAUUUCUCUGAAGAGCAGUAUGACUGAGUUUGUAUAAAGAGCGGUGGGGUGUGUGUGUUGUGGAGUAGGGGUAUUAGGACAAGGAAGAGAAAAUACCAAAUUACUUUUAGUGACUGAAGUUAUUUAGAACAUUUUCACAACCGUGAAACUACCGUCAAGACUAGGCAAAAUUCAGAUCCUGCGGGAACUGACAUCGAAAGGCUCAGGGUGAAGCAAAACCUCCCAUCCUACCCCAUCAGAAUAUUUUUGGGGUCGAUUUUAUAGAAAUGCUCCAACAACCAGUGGAAAACAUGUGAGGCUGUGUACAUGCAGCCAUUUUUAGAAUGUUAAAAUUUCACUAAGCAGCUGCCUGAAAAGCUAGCCAAGGCCCAUAGCCUCCCACUAAGCCAUCAUUUGUCAAAUUUCUGCUUUUUACAAUGGGACACCCUUGAGCAAAACACGGUGGAUAAAGACUCUCAAGAGCAGAGUUAGAGAACCUAUGACUCUUCAGAUUCUGCUGGACUACAUAUCCCAUCAUCCCUGUGAGAGUCAGUGUGGUGUAGUGGUUAAGAGUGGUAGACUCAUAAUCUGGGGAACCGGGUUCGCGUCUCCGCUCCUCCACAUGCAGCUGCUGGGUGACCUUGGGCCAGUCACACUUCUCUGAAGUCUCUCAGCCCCACUCACCUCACACAGUGUUUGUUGUGGGGGAGGAAGGGAAAGGAGAAUGUUAGCCGCUUUGAGACUCCUUAAAGGGAGUGAAAGGCGGGGUAUCAAAUCCAAACUCUUCUUCUUCUUCUUCCCUGACCAUUGAUUGACUGGACUACAUAUCCCAUCAUCCCCGACCAUCGAUUGACCAUGGCAGCUCAGGCUCUGGGGGCAGCAGCCUUGGGCGCAGGAUUCUGAGGGCACGAGAGGCCACAACCAGGCACUCCCAUGGCAAGCAAGCACCCUGAAGGGAGGCAACCUGCGUCACUGCCUGCCCAUCUGUCUUCCCGGCACGCACGGAGGAGGAAGCCCAGCUGGCUGAUGUGGAGCCACACUCCCCUUUCUCUGUAGGAGAAGGAGGCACUGUCCCAGCCCCAAAGGCCUGGCCCUGGCAUGGUUUGCCUCUCCUUGAAUACAAGAAGCUACUAGAAGCUUCACUGUGUGAGAGAAGCAGACAGAAGGGUUAAUGAUUGUUGGGGUUAUACCUUCUGGGACGCUGGUUUGAACUGGUUCUCUUAUCUCUAUUCUAUUCUAUUCUAUUCUAUUCUAUUCUAUAAAUAUAGGCCAGAAGGCGCCUGGGUCUUUACUUUUUCUCUUCCUAUCUCUCUUCCUUCUAGCAUGGUGUUUCUGUUUGUGUAUGCUAUAGCAUUAAGGUUUAGUCUUGUUGUACGUUUAUAAGUUUUGUAAGUGCUGCAACUCUGUAUGGACUGAGCCAAUCCUGGUUGUAUUGGAUUUGAUAACCAUUACGCUCAUUUGCCUUCGGCACAAGUAAAACUCUGCUGGAUGAAAUAUUGCCUCUGGUCUAUUUUGGGGGACUCUGCUGAACACUGUGACAUGUUAAAAGUUUUUUCCUCCACACAUAUGACACACAUAUGACAGCAUGGUUGUGCCAUCUCGCACCCUCUCAGAAUCUGGUGGCAUUGGUGUUGGAGUGCUUAAUAAUAAUAAUAAUAAUAAUAAUAAUAAUAAUAAUUUUUUAUAAGAUAUUUAUUAAGAUUUUUUAAAAUAUUACAAUAAAAAUGAAAAAAAUGACAAAAAUACAAAAUAAAAAUAGUUAAAAACACACAGAUUUUCCAUUACUUAUUUUCCUUUGACUUAUUUCCCGGACCUCCUCAUACCUCCCUUUUUGUAUUCCACUUCAAUCUGUUGGUUCAGCAAAUCCUUUAAAAGUAGUAAUAUUAAAUUUUUACCUAUUUAUAACCCUUUUUCAUAUUCCUUAAAGCAUUACAGCUGGAAACCACUUAAUUACUAUCCAACAUCACUUUAACAUUCAUUAAUUUUACAAUAUUUCUGUAGAUAAUCUUUGAAUUUCUUCCAAUCUUCUUCCACCGACUCUUCUCCCUGGUCUCAGAUUCUGCCAGUCAUUUCUGCCAGUUCCAUAUAGUCCAUCACCUUCAUCUGCCAUUCUUCCAGAGUGGGUAGAUCUUGUGUCUUCCAAUACUUUGCAAUGAGUAUUCUUGCUGCUGUUGUGGCAUACAUAAAAAAAGUUCUGUCCUUCUUUGGCACCAAUUGGCUGACUAUGCCCAGGAGAAAGGCCUCUGGUUUCUUCAAGAAGGUAUGCUUAAAUACCUUUUUCAGUUCAUUAUAUAUCAUUUCCCAGAAGGCCUUAAUCCUUGGGCACGUCCACCAAAGGUGAAAGAAUGUACCUUCAGUUUCUUUACAUUUCCAGCAUUUAUUGUCGGGCAAAUGAUAGAUUUUUGCAAGCUUGACUGGGGUCAUGUACCACCUGUAUAUCAUUUUCAUAAUAUUCUCUCUUAGGACAUUACAUGCCGUAAACUUCAUACCUGUGGUCCAUAACUGUUCCCAGUCAGCAAACAUAAUAUUAUGUCCAACAUCUUGUGCCCAUUUAAUCAUAGCAGAUUUCACCGUUUCAUCCUGAGUAUUCCAUUUCAACAGCAAGUUAUACAUUCUUGACAAAUUCUUAGUUUUGGGUUCUAACAGUUCUGUUUCUAAUUUUGAUUUUUCCACCUGGAAGCCAAUUUUCUUGUCCAAAUUAUAUGCCUCCAUUAUCUGAUAAUAAUGAAGCCAGUCUCGCACUUUAUUUUUCAGUUUCUCAAAACUCUGCAGUUUCAGUCUAUCUCCAUCUUGUUCCAAAAUUUCCCAAUAUUUCGACCAAUUGGCCUCCAUAUUGAGCCUUUUCAGAGCUUUCGCUUCCAUCGGUGACAGCCACCUUGGGGUUUUGUUUUCCAGCAAAUCCUUGUAUCUUAUCCAAACAUUAAACAGUGCUUUCCUGACAAUAUGGUUUUUAAAUGCUUUAUGCGCUUUGACCUUGUCAUACCACAGAUAUGCAUGCCAUCCAAAUACAUUAUUAAAACCUUCUAAGUCCAAAAUGUCUGUGUUUUCAAGAAGCAGCCAUUCUUUCAACCAGCAAAAAGCUGCUGAUUCAUAGUAAAGUUUAAAGUCUGGCAGGGCAAAUCCACCCCUUUCCUUUGCAUCCGUUAAUAUCUUAAAUUUUAUUCUGGGCUUCUUGCCCUUCCAGACAAAUCUAGAAAUAUCUCUCUGCCACUUCUUGAAACAGUCCAUCUUGUCCACAAUUUGCAAUGUUUGAAACAAAAACAGCAUUCUAGGCAAUACAUUCAUUUUCAUCACAGCAAUACGACCCAACAGUGAAAGCUUCAAAUUUGACCAGAUUUCUAAAUCUUUUUUCACAACUUAAGAACUACCGCCCUAUAUCGUUACUAAAUGUGGAUUACAAAAUUUUUGCAGAUAUUUUGGUGAAGAGAUUUUAAAAAGUAUUGAUGGAAGAGAUUCACAAAGACCAAGCGGGCUUUCUUCCAGGAAGACAUUUGUCUGACAAUUUGAGGAAUAUAAUUGAUAUCUUGGAAAAAUUAGAAGUGAAUAUAAACACUAAAGCAGUGUUGAUAUUUGUAGACGCGGAGAAAGCCUUUGACAACAUUUCUUGGAAUUUUAUGAAGAAGAAUCUACAGGGUAUGUGGGUAGGCCAAGGUUUUGAGAAUGGUAUAAGUGCAAUUUAUUCAGAACAAAAGGCUAAACUAAUUGUAAAUAAUGUUGUGACGGAAGAACUUAAAAUUGAAAAGGGACACGACAAGGUUGCCCAAUUUCCCCACUUCUUUUUAUUUCGGUCCUGGAGGUUCUGCUGAAUAUGAUUAGAAGGGACCAGUCGGUUAAAGGUAUACAGGUCGGAACUAAACAGUACAAAUUGAGAGCAUUUGCAGAUGACUUAGUAUUGACGUUACAGGAGCCAGAAUCUAGUACUAAAAGGGUUUUAGAACUGAUUCAAGAAUUUGGUCAAGUGGCAGGAUUUAAAUUGAACAAGUUAAAAACUAAGGUUUUAGAGAAAAAUUUAACACCGUUUGAAAGAGAGAGGUUUCAGAAUGAGACAGGUUUAACAGUGGUUAAGAAAGUUAAAUAUUUGGGGAUUAACAUGACAGCAAAAAAUGGGAACUUAUUUAAAGAUAACUAUGAAAAAUGCUGGUCUGAAGUGAAAAAGAUUUAGAAAUGUGGUCAAAUUUGAAGCUUUCACUGCUGGGCCGUAUUGCUGCGAUAAAAAUGAAUGUAUUGCCUAGAAUGUUGUUUUUGUUCCAAACUUUGCAGAUUGUGGACAAAAUGGAUUGUUUCAAGAGGUGGCAGAAAGAUAUUUCUAAAUUUGUCUGGCAGGGCAAGAAGCCUAGAAUAAAAUUUAAAAUACUAACAGAUGCAAAGGAAAGAGGUGGAUUUGCCCUGCCAGACCUUAAACUUUACUAUGAAUCAGCAGCCUUUUGCUGGUUGAAAGAAUGGCUACUUCUUGAAAACACUGACAUUUUGGACUUGGAAGGUUUCAAUAAUGUAUUUGGAUGGCAUGCAUAUCUAUGGUAUGAUAAGGUCAAAGCACAUAAAGCAUUUAGAAACCACAUUGUCAGGAAAGCGCUAUUUAAUGUUUGGUUAAGAUAUAAGGAUUUGUUAGAAAACAAAACCCCAAGGUGGCUGUCACCAAUGGAAGCGAAAGCCUUGAAAAAGGUCAAUAUGGAGGUCAAAUGGCCGAAAUAUUGGGAAAUUUUGGAACAAGACGGAGAUAGACUGAAAUUGCAGAGUUUUGAAAAACUAAAAGACAAAGUGCGAGACUGGCUUCAUUAUUAUCAGAUAAUGGAGGCAUUUAAAUUGGACAGGAAAAUUGGCUUCCAGGUGGAAAGAUCCAAAUUGGAAACAGAAUUGUUAGAACCCAAAACUAAGAAUUUGUCAAGAAUGUAUAACUUGCUGCUGAAAUGGAAUACUCAGGAUGAAACGGUAAAAUCGGCUAUGAUUAAAUGGGCACAGGACGUUGGACAUAAUAUUAUGUUUGCUGACUGGGAACAGUUAUGGACCACAGGUAUGAAAUUUACGGCAUGUAAUGCCUUAAGAGAGAAUAUUAUGAAAAUGAUAUACAGGUGGUACAUAACCCCAGUCAAGCUUACGAAAAUCUAUCAUUUGCCCGAUAACAAAUGUUGGAAAUGUAAAGAAACUGAAGGUACAUUUUUCCACCUUUGGUGGACGUGCCCAAAGAUUAAGGCUUUCUGGGAAAUGAUAUAUAAUGAAUUAAAAAGGUAUUUAAGUAUACCUUCCCUAAGAAACCAGAGGCCUUUCUCCUGGGCAUGGUCGGCCAAAUGGUGAUAAAAAAGGAUAGAACUUUCUUUAUGUAUGCAACAACAGCAGCAAGAAUACUCAUCGCAAAGUAUUGGAAGACACAAGAACUUCCCACGCUGGAGGAAUGGCAGAUGAAACUUAUGGACUAUAUGGAAUUGGCGGAAAUGACUGGUAGAAUCCGUGACCAGGGAGAAGAGUCGAUGGAGGAAGAUUGGAAGAAAUUCAAAGACUAUCUUCAGAAACACUGCAAAAUUAAAGAAUGUUAGAGUGAUGUUGGAUUGAAAAUAAGUGGUUUCCAGCUGUACAGGUUAAAGUUAAUGAUAGACUAAGAUUAAAGAUUAAGAUUAAAGAUGUUUAAAGAAAUGGAAAUUUGAUAUUAAGAGGGAAAAUUUUAAUGUUAUAUGAUACUAAGACCAAGGAUUAGGUUUAAAGAAGUUGAAGUUAUAUAUUUUAAUAUUUUAUCAAAUUAAAGAUUGGGAUUAAAAAAAGUGGAAAAGAAACUGCUGGACAAAUAAUUUGGAUUGGAAUACAAAAGAGGGAGGUAUGAGGAAGUCCAGAAAGUAAGUAAUUUAAAAAUGGAAAUGGAAAAGAGAUAUUGUUUUUAAUUGUUAUGUUUUUCUGUUUUUUUUUAUUGUUGAAUUUUGUGUUGCUUUUUGUGUGUGUUGUUGUUAUAUGUAUUGUGUAUGUUUUUUUUCCUCUUUUUUAUUGUCUAAAACUUUAAUAAAAAUUAUUUUUAAAAAAACAACAACAUUUUUCAUAAUUAUCUUUAAAUAAGUUCCCAUUUUUGGCUGUCAUGUUAAUCCCCAGGUAUUUCACUUUCUUUACCACAGUCAAUCCUGUCUCAUUCUGAAACCUCUCUCUUUCAAUCAGUGUUAAAUUUUUCUCUAAAACCUUAGUUUUUAACUUGUUCAGUUUAAAUCCUGCCAGUUGACCAAAUUCUUGAAUUAGUUCUAAAACCCUUUUAGUACUAGAUUCUGGCUCCUGUAACGUCAAUACUAAGUCAUCUGCAAAUGCUCUCAGUUUGUACUGUUUGGCUCCGACCUGUAUACCUUUAACCAACCGGUCCCUUCUAAUCAUAUUCAGCAGAACCUCCAGGACCGAUAUAAAAAGCAGUGGGGAGAUUGGGCACCCCUGUCGUGUCCCUUUUCUAUCUUAAAUUCUUCCGUCACCACAUUAUUUACAAUUAAUUUAGCCUUUUGUUCAGAGUAUAUUGCACCUAUACCAUUUUCAAAACCUUGGCCUGCCCCCAUCCCCUGUAGGUUCUUCUUCAUGAAGCUCCAAGAGAUGUUGUCAAAGGCUUUCUCCGCGUCCACAAAUAUCAGAACUGCUUUAGUGUUUAUAUUCACUUCUAGUUUUUCCAAAAUAUCAAUUAUAUUUCUCAAAUUAUCAGACAAGUGUCUUCCUGGGAGAAAGCCCGCUUGGUCUUUAUGGAUCUCUUCCAUCAAUACUUUUUUCAAUCUCUUGGCCAAAAUGUCUGCAAAAAUUUUGUAAUCCACAUUAAGUAACGAUAUAGGGCGGUAGUUCUUAAGCUGAGUCUUUUCAGUCUCUGUUUUCGGUAUAAGUGUAAUGUACGCCUCUUUCCACGACUCUGGUGCCCUUUUCCUUCCAAUAUUUCAUUACAGACUUCCUUCAAAGGUUGUAAUAGCCACUCUUUCAAAGAUCUAUAAUAUCUAGAAGUCAGCCCAUCCGGUCCUGGAGAUUUGCCCAAUUGCAUAUUUUGAAUGGCACCUUCUACUUCCUGUUCAGAUAUUUUAUAGUUCAACAUUAAUUUGCUUUCUUGGGAGAUUUUUGUAGUCCAUUUGUCUUCAAAAAUUUGUCUAUGUCCAUUUCUUUCUGUGGCCCUUGUGUGUAUAAUUGUUUAAAAUACCUCUGGAAACAGUCUCUAAUCUCAAUUGGGUUAUGUAUAUUCUUUCCUUCCACUUCUAAGUUUGUGAUAGUAUUUAAUUUUUGUCUUUUUUUCAUUUGCCAGGCCAGCAAUUUCCCACAUUUAUUAGCUGAUUCAAAUGUUUUUGUCUCAUUUGUUUAAUUUUCCAUUCUAUUUCCUGAUUCAUCAUUUCCAUAUAUUGUACUUGAUAUAAUUUUAUUUCUCUCAAAAUCUCCUGCGACUUUGGUUUUGCUCUCAGUUUCUUCUCACUUUCUUUUAUUUUCUCCAAAAUUUUAUCUUUUUUCUCAUUUUGACUUCUCUUCUUUAUUGCAUUCUGUUGUAUCAGAAACCCUCUCAUAACAGCUUUACUUGCGUCCCAGAUUACUCUUUUUUCUACAUUGGUGUUCAUAUUUAUUUCAAAAUAAUCUCUCAAAGUUUUGGGGCCUUUUUAUAGACUUCUUCAUCUCUAAAUAAGGUGUCAUUCAUCCUCCAUCUGAAGGAGCCAGUUGAUAUUUGUUUCAUCUCCAUCCUUACAGCGUUAUGGUCGGAGCAGGUUUUUGGGCAGAUUUCCACUUUCUUUAUCUUUGGUGCCAUUCCUCUAGUUACCCAUAUUUGAUCAAUUCUAGUCCAUGUCAUCUUGGCUUCAGAAAAGAAAGUUCCCUCUCUUCCCAGGGGGUUCUUUACUCUCCAAAUGUCCACUAAGUCCAUAUUGUCUGUCAUCCCAAAAAAUGUUUUCGGUAGUCUACCAUCCUUGGUAACUACCUGUCUUUGUGCCUUGUCCAUGUUUGUAGAUACUACUCCAUUCAUAUCCCCCAUAAUGCCAUCUCGCACCCUCUCAGAAUCUGGUGGCAUUGGUGUUGGAAAGCUUAAUAAUAAUAAUAAUAAUAAUAAUAAUAAUAAUAAUAAUAUUUUUAUAAGAUAUUUAUUAAGAUUUUUUAAAAUAUUACAAUAAAAAUGAAAAAAAUGACAAAAAUACAAAAUAAAAAUAGUUAAAAACACACAGAUUUUCCAUUAAUAAUAAUAAUGAUAAUAAUAAUUUAUUAUUUAUACCCCGCCCAUCUGACUGGGUUUCCCCAGCCACUCUGGGCGGCAUCCAAUUAAAUAUUAAAAACAAUACAGCAUCAGACAUUAAAAACUUCCCUAAACAGGGCCGCCUUCAGUUGUCUUUUAAAAGUAAAAUAGUUGUUUAUUGCCUUGACAUCUGCUGGGAGGGCGUUCCGCAGGGCAGGCACCACUACCGAGAAGGCCCUCUGCCUGGUUCCCUGUACUCUCACUUCUCGCAGUGAGGGAACUGCCAGAAGGCCCUUGGAGCUGGACCUCAGUGUCCGGGCUGGAUGAUGGGGGUGGAGACACUCCUUCAGGUAUAUUGGACCGAGGCCAUUUAGGGCUUUAAAGGUCAGCACCAACACUUUGAAUUGUGCACGGAAACGUACUGGGAGCCAAUGAAGAUCUUUCAGGACAGGUGUUAUAUGGUAUCGGUGGCCACUCCCAGUCACCAGUCUUGCUGCCGUGUUCUGGAUUAGUUGUAGUUUCUGGGUCACCUUCAAAGGUAGCCCCACGUAGAGCGCGUUGCAGUAGUCCAAGCGGGAGAUAACUAGAGCAUGCACCACUCUGGCGAGACAGUCCGCGGGCAGGUAGGGUCUCAUCCUGCGUACCAGAUGGAGCUGGUAGACAGCUGCCCUGGACACAGAUUUGACCUGUGCCUCCAUGGGACAGCUGUGAGUCCAAAAUGACUCCCAGGCUGCGCACCUGGUCCUUCAAGGGCACAGUUACCCCAUUCAGGAUCAGGGAGUCCUCCACACCAGCCUGCCCCCUGUCUCUCAAAAACAGUACUUCUGUCUUGUCAGGAUCCAUUCCCCUGGAUUCUGCAAUUGCAGAAGUGCAGCCGAAAUGGAAGGGAAUAAGGCAGCCUGUUCCUAACUCCCUUGCUCUUCUGCCCCUUGGAACGAAAAGCGUUUACAGUGCUUGGGUAAAAACUGAGGGAGACAAAGGUGGAACUGAUCAAAAUGAGAAGAAGCUGAAGACCGACACAGAUCUGACAAAACCUCUGAGCAGUCAUCUCCACUGUGUAUACAGACAUAUGCACAGAUUGGAGUGCAUUCAAUUGCAAUUGGUUUUCCCUUGUUCCAGAAGCAGCAGUUACAGCUCUUGAAGAAAAGGCAAUAAGCAGGAAUAGACUUCUUUGCCAUCGCUGAUUCAUCUCACUAUUGAUUCCGCUCUACUUGGGAUACAAACAUUGGUUAGAGACUUAAUCUACUUUGCUCCAUUGUUUUUAUAUUGCCUCUAGAUCGGGGUUCUUUUAUGAUGAAUCACAACAACAGCUCAGACUAAUGCUUUAAAAGCUUUUGCAAGUGUUACGCAGCAUCUUUCUUGGCCUACUUCUUUCCGAGACAAAGAGGGACAAAUAUUUUGAGUGUCUUGUCCUCCCCGAUGUGUUGUGAAACAUUGUUAGCAUUUGCAGAGGAUCCCAGCGUUGGUCUUCCUCAGAAGAGGAUGCUGGGAAAUAAGCAGGGCCAGCCCAAGACGUUUUUGCCACUUGAGGCGAAGGACAAAAUCAAUGCCAUCCGUAUAUAGAAGCUGGCUGGACUGGCAGUAGAAACUCCAGUACUGACAACAGGAUUGUAUACUCCACAGCAAAGUCCAGAUGGGACACAUUCAGCUCUGCCCGCCUACAGAAGGGUACAGCUGGGAGUUCAGGAGGAUGGACACACACACACACACACACACACACACACACACACACACACCUGUAUUUGCUGCUGAGGCACUUGCCUCAUCCUGGCUAAUGGUAGGGCCAUGAACUGUGUUUCAAUUCAUGUAUUGCGAACCAGAGCAGCGCACGGAAACGCUGUUUACCUUCCCGCCGGAGCGGUACCUCUUUAUCUACUUGCACUUUGAUGUGCUUUUGAACUGCUAGGUUGGCAGGAGCAGGGACCGAGCAAUGGGAGCUCACCCUGUCGUGGGGAUUCAAACCGCUGACCUUCUGAUCGACAAGUCCUAGGCUCUGUGGUUUAACCCACAGCGCCACCCGCGUCCUCAGCCCUAAUCUCCCUCAAAUUCGUUGGAUGAUCUCUUUUAUUAUAAUGGUUUUUAAUUUUUUUAAAAAAAAACCUUCUCCCCUCCUCUCUCCAUUCCAUUCAGUAUUUUAUUAAUCUCUAUAAUAUCUACCCCGCUCCACAAUUGCCAUCAUUCUUCUAUCCUCAAUUCCUAUCUCUAUCUCUUCCAGCCUUUAAGCUGUAGCUGUUUGUUGUUGUUUUUUUUGUAACGAAUUUAAUUGGGUUGCUGAAAUCAGCAGUGCUGUUUUGCUAUAAUGUUUAAGUUCUCCAGGGGACAGUUGCUGCUUUAAUGUACUUGCUGGCUAUUUACUAUAUUUAUUCAAUUUAUUACUAUAGUUUUAAAGUAUGUUAACCAUACAUAUUUAGCCGAAGAUUAAUGUCUUUUAUAUGUUAUUGCAUUACAACCGUUUCACCUGGGUACCAUGUGAGAAAGUUCAUUUUUAAAUAAUAUUUUAAAGUAACUUCUGAGACUUGCCUACAGGUCCAACCAAUUCUCUGUACUGGACUAUAGGUGUGGUGUGAAUAACACGCCUGGAGGCAAAUUUAAACCAACAACCAAUUUUGCUUUUCCUAAAGGUGUUUUCUUUUUUGUAAGGCAGUCAUUUAUACAUUUAUUAUAAAGAUAUUAAAGAGGGGGGCUAAAGUAGUUUGAACAAUUAACCAUAAGAGCAAAUGAAAAUAGCCUAAGAAAACAUGUCCAGCUACACUGUUUGCGAGCCCAAGCGCUAACUCCCCUGGGAGCCAGCCCAUAAAUAAGGAGACACGACAAUGAUGUAUGGGAUAAAAAUAGGCCACAACUUUAUUGAUUUCAGAUGUCUGAAACCUUGGCCUAGGCAUUGUUGGGUCUGAGGAUGCACAGGGCAGACAGGUUGUGCUGGUCCCGGGGGGGGGUACCGUGCGGCGUGGUCUGAGUCCGGUCCUAGGUUGAGGGUAUGGAAGCUGUCUGUCAAGGGCAAAGCGGGGUCCAAGGCAAGGAGCCGGGCAUGGUCAGGAACUCUGGAAGAGCAGGACAGGGUGCUGGCAGGAACAGGUUUCCAAUGACGUUGCUCCCGCAACCUGGGACUGGGCUGACUGGCCUUUAUCUCCUCUGAUUCAUAGGGUGGUCCCGGCCCACAGGUGACCCGCCUCUCCUGGCCUUAAGGUGAGCACUCCUCCUAAGAGAACUUAGUUCCCUCCGCCUCUCUGCCCUGAGCCUCUGCAGCUCAGGAGAGGCUGGAGGGUUACCGGACCCAGAGGCAACCUCACCUUCCCCUGACAGGGCUGGGAGAGGAGCACCUGCAGGCAAUGGGUCCUCCAUGACCUCCGGAGCCAGAGUGGAUUCAUCUGGUGUCUGCUCCUGAGGAUCCAGCAUAGGUGAGGGCCCUUCAGGUUCAAGCCCCUGCCCCAGCUCAGCCGGCCCUGGAGGCGGGGACUCAUGUGCAGGCUGAGACUCGUAAUCUGGUGAACUGGGUUCGAUUCCCUGCUCCUCCACAUGCAGCUGCUGUGUGACCUUGGGCUAGUCACACUUUUUUUUAAGUCUCUCAGCCCCACUCACCUCACAGAGUGUUUGUUGUGGGGGAAGAAGGGAAAGGAAAUUAUUAGCCGCUUUGAGACUCCUUAGGGUAGUGAUAAAGCGGGAUAUCAAAUCCCAACUCUUCUUCUCAACCAAAAGCAGCCAUUCUUCAACAAAGAACAAAUCUCAAAAUGGUGGAACAAGUUCCUCCAACACCGAGUGACAGCAACUUGCCAAGCUCUCGGACAGAGGGUCCUUCCCAGGUAUGGAAUCUGGAAUCCUUUAACUGGCGAUACGAACGACUGGAACUGGGAUCUUUGGUAUGCAAUUCAUGCCCUCUGCUAUUAAGCAAUGGCCUCACCCUGAUGCUUCUGAGCCUUCCACAAUCCAUUCAUAGCAGGAGCACUAUUGGUCAAUGAAGUGCCGAGUGCUCUCAAAAAAACUAAUGUAUUAAUGUUACUUCUACGUUUAUUAAAGUGUACACCGCUACCAAGUUUACCAGCGAGCUUAUUUGAGCCCUCUUCGCCUAUCAAACAAUUGCUUUGGCAUAUGAGUCUUUCCAAACUAAUGCUUACCUGCCCCUCCUCUUAAUUUGAAAUACUUUGUAAGUACCAACUUCAUUACACCCUCUAUAAUAGGCUACAGAAAUUGUUUUUGUCAAUUGCCAUCUUGCAGACUACUUAGAAAAUAUACAGGAGAUUUAUUCAGGCUGAAGCAGCAUUAAAAUGUCAUAGAAUAUAAAUUAUACCCUGCAUUGUUCAAGUAAUUUAAUUGGGUGUGAUUCAGUUGGACUAAAAUAGCUUGAUUUGUGGGUGAAUGUACACGACAAAUAAUCUAUAACAAAGGAGAGUGACAUGCAAGAUAAAUAAAUAAAUUAUAAAUCCAGGUCUCCUGUGCAAUUCUAAAGACUAAUUAUGGAAUGAGGCAAACGGAAACAUGUUUGAAAUGGACCGGAUUACACACCUGCAUUUACGGAUGUAAGACAUCGAAUUUUGCAUAUCCAUAUUAGAAAGUUGCCGCAGAAGGACAAUCAUGCACUAUAAUCCCAGGAAAGUGAGCAUUACUGGUAGCCCACUAGCGCCACCAUUUGGGGAAAUCAAACAUCACCAAAUAUUGCUACAUAAAUGCAGAGAUUCCCAAAACACAUGCCAGGCACAUGAGUGUGCAACCAGAGGGGCUGAGGUGUUCAUCUGCAUAAUUUUUAGGUUUCAUAGAAUUAGGGACCCCCUUGCCACCCUCAGAUAGUAAGCAGAUGUUUGAUUUAUUACCUGCCCUCCAGCAUUAGUUGCAGCAACUUAAAAAUACAAUAUUAAACAGCUUAAAACAAAUUACAGUCGUAAGAAUAGGGUGAGCCCUAAGAAUAUAUAUCUCCAGCAACAAAGACCAGGGUAAAGAGGGGCAGCCUGGUGUACAACAUAAACUAUAUAAUGAAGGGCAAAAGCCGCGUUUCAGAUUUUUGGUGCCUACAUCUUUAAGGGCUUUAAACAUUAAGGUCAGCAUCUUGAAUUGGGUGCAGAAAUGAGCUGGCAACUAAUGCAACUGUUUUAAAACGGAGUUAUACAAGAUGGAAAGGAAACCUCAGGAAAUCCACUCACUGCAUUUUGUACCACUUAAAAGUUUCCAAGUCACCUUCACAUAGAGUGCACUGCAGUAAUCCAGUCUGAAAGUUACUAGCACAUGGAGUACUGCGGCCAAGUUGUCUCUUGUCUUAAAGGUGCUCAAAGCUGGUGAACCAGUCAGAGAUGAAAAUAGCCCCUUCUGUCCGCCGAUGAUAAUAAUAAUAAUAAUAAUAAUGUAUUAUUUAUACCCCACCCAUCUGGCUGAGCUUCCCCAGCCACUCUGGGCGGCUCCCAAUCAAGUGUUUAAAAAAGUACAGCGUUAAAUAUUAAAAACUUCCCUGAACAGGGCUGCCUUCAGAUGUCUUUUAAAGAUAGGCUAGCUGCUUAUUUCCUUCACAUCUGAAGGGUGUUCCACAGGGUGGGCGCCACUACCGACAAGGCCCUCUGUCUGGUUCCCUGUAACCUCACUUCUCGCAAUAAGGGAACUGCCAGAAGGCCCUCGGCACUGGACCUCAGUGUCCGGGCUGAAGGAUGGGGGUGGAGACGCUCCUUCAGGUAUACAGGACCGAAGCAGUUUAGGGCUUUAAAGGUCAGCACCAACACUUUGAAUUGUGCUCGGACACGUACUGGGAGCCAAUGCAGAUCUCUCAGAACUGGUGUUAUGUGGUCCCAGCGGCCACUGAGACCAUCUGAGCCUCCAGGGACAACAUUGAAUGCAGGAGGAGCCCCCAAGCUAGGACCUGCUCCUUCUAGAGAAGUACAGCUUCAUCCAUAACACCUCCAUCUUUUCAGGAUUCGGUUUCAUUUUAUUGGCUCACCUCCAGCCCAUCCCUGCCUCUGGCCCAGCAUCUCAACCACCUCUCCUGAUUCAGAUGAAACAGAAAGAUUGAGCAGAGUGUCUCCUGCAUUUUGGUGACACCUCCCUCCAAAUCUCCUGAGGACCCUUCCCAGCAGCUUCAGGUAGAUGUUGAAUAGCACGGGGGACAAGGUGGAACCUUGUGGACACUUCAGGACAGUAUCCAUGGUGCUGAACAGGCACCUCCUCCAUACAGUGGUACCUUGGUUUAAGAACAGCUUAGUUUAUGAACAACUCGGAUUAAGAACGCUGCAAAGCUGGAAGUAGGUGUUUUGGUUUGUGAACUUUGCCUUGGAAGCAGAACAUGUUUCACUUUCUGUUGAGUGCGUUCCAUUUGUAAAUUGAGUCCCCCGUUGCUAUAGGAAAGCAUGCCUUGGUUUAAGAACGCUUUGGUUUAAGAACAGACUUCCGUAACAGAUUAAGUUCGUAAACCAAGAUACCACUGUAACUACUUUCUGGAAACAGUCCUGGGGGUAGAAAUGGAACCAAUGAAGUAUGGUGCCCCCAGCCUCUACCUCCCUGAGCUGCUCUAUAAGAAUACCAUAGUCAAUUACAGUGGUACCUCAGGUUAAGUACUCAAUUCGUUCUGGAGGUCCGUUCUUAACCUGAAACUGUUCUUAACCUGAAGCACCACUUUAGCUAAUGGGGCCUCCUGCUGCUACCACACCACCAGAGCACGAUUUCUGUUCUUAUCCUGAAGCAAAGUUCUUAACCCGAGGUACUAUUUCUAGGUUAGCGGAGUCUGUAACCUGAAGCGUAUGUAACCUGAAGC